CACCAACUGCUUGAAGUUAAUAGGGGUGACAAACGGCGGUGAUCCACUGUAGAUGUCUAGGACUGCCUCCUCGUAUGCCCUCUGGGUAGGAUGUAUAGCGUCCCAAAAUAGGUAUUCAGUGCGGUUCUUACAGUAGAUAGUGGUCGGAGUGCACUCAACCGAACUACCUCCACAGCAUCCACUUGUGACAUCUUUAAAACCUGGCGACGUGUUAUUAAAACUUUUAGUUACUUGAUCACUCUAACCUUUUUAUCCAAGAUGCAGGAACUAAUACUAGUUACAUGACCCUGCACCAAGAGUAGUUAUUGAGCUUACCAGCUGCUUCUGGAUUAGCUAUCAUAUUUGACACCGCUGCAUAAGCACUGCCGAGCGAGUACUUCAUCCCCUUCAAUGUGGAGCUAAGAUUGCUUAACAUAACUUUGACAUCAUCAUUAACAACACGGACCAAAACAUUCACGGCGUCGAAACAGGCUCCGGAAUGGUUAAAUAAUAGUCUUGCGCCUGGGGUGCAACCGAUGGGUCCAACGUCGACUAUCCCAAACUUCCUUGCUCCCAAGUUGUACAAUGCCUAGUCAUUAUAAAGUGUAACUAGCUCUUUUCAGGAAAUUCAGAAAUGUAAUGCUACUUGAGAAGAAAAGAGAGAGGAAGUUCACCUCGAUUUGCUUUGUGUAGUUGGAGAUGAGAUUGUUGUAGAAUUGUUCAGGUUGUGUGAUGCUUGAUGCCGUGUUCUUUGCAAGAAGGGCAAUGAUGUCGUUAGCCCCGGCACUGAUGAGGAAGAUACAUUUCGAGAGUACAAUAUUUGAUUUGUUAGUUGCGGCAAAAUAUUUGAUCUGUUUUGUCAUAGUGAGGGUAUGGUUUCCCUGGUAUAUAGACAAAUGAAUAUAUUGAUUAGGUGUUGUUUAGUUGUUUAGGAGUUCUAAAGCAGCUAAGUAGGUAAACAAAAUAUGUAAGCAUUGUAGAAAGCGUAGUUGUGCUCACAGUGGAGUCAAGAAUUCCAGAUCCUCCAGAAGCGUAGUUUACUCCAACUUGGCUGGUGUUGUUUGGGAGGGAAAGAUAUGGUGGCGGACUCAUUUGGAAGCCCAUCUGACGGGCUGCGCACAUCAUCAGAGAUCAGUAGCUAAAAGUGGACAAGUGGGAGGAAUAAUAGCGUAAGAAUUUAUGAUCCAUGUCUUUCUUUACUAUUAUUAUUUUCCCCAUUUUAUUGUUGUUGUUGUUCUUAUUAUUAUUAUUAUUAUUAUUAUUAUUAUUAUUAUUAUUAUUAUUUUGAGAGCAAAGGAGACUGGAGGGCAGAUUACCGCAUCAGUCACCUGCAAUUUUAUUCAGAAAAAAGUAUGCACAUCCAGGGUGUAUAAGGUAGAAUAUACGAGAGAUAGGAAGGGAAGAGAGAGGUCUACAGGUUGACUACUAUUCCCCAGCCAGGAAACCCAAAAAAAACAACAUCCUAUCAGAAGAACAAAGAAGUAAAUAGGAGACUGAUCAGAUAAGCAAGCAGGAUGCUUAAGAGGCAUUCAAAAAAGCACAUAACAUCAGAGAAACCUCAACCAUCAUAGUCUCCUACACAAGAUGUCACAGCACUGGAGAAGCAAAGACAGCAUUUCAGCCUAAACAGAGAGAACAUUAGACACCAGCAACAUGACAUCUGAAGAGGAAAUACCUGGUCUUCUAUAGUUCCUAAUCCUCUCCCAUAGCUUUCCAAAACCAAGAAGAGAUUUAUGAUCAAGAAGAAUGGACCAACUAUUAACAAGACGGUUGGUUGAAGAAAUAGUGGAGAAAAAAUAACAAGACAGUUGUUAUUAUUGUUUUUGCUGUUGUUGUUAACGUCCAUCAAUUCACUAAGAUAAUACCCAGGAAAUAAUUAGGUAGGAGACAAAACAUCAACCAGAUAAAAAGUGUACUUGAUAUAUUUUUGUAAUUUGCUCAUUCAUGAAAGAGAAAUAUUGACGAUAACACAAGAAAUGAGUAUGAAGUUUUCAAGAAAAAAAUAAAUUAGACACCCGUGGAUAGCAUCUAUCCAUGGACCUGAGGUACAUACAUUAUUCGCACGUACUCAUAUGGGGUGUCUCUUGGUUGCUCUAGCUUUUAUUCUUUUUGAGAAGGUAUUCUACUUUUUCUCUGAGAUGGACGACAUUGAUGGCUCGGUAGAGAUCAUAUCUUUGCAUUACCAGCUCCACUUUUCCAUGUGAGGAUCAAAUGGCGAUCUCAUCAGCGAUAGCAGAUGGACAUAUUUGACCAGUACACGACCCGAGAUAAGAGGCAAAUUAGGGCAAUUGUUCUGCCUCAUAAGUUCAUAAUUCCUUCAUCCUUUAGCCCCUUAGCCCAUCAAAUGUACAAAAUAUCAUCUAGAUGACAUGCAAAAGAUCAUUGCCAGUUCGAGCAGUUUGUGAGACUGUUUCGGUAGAACAGCUAACAUGCAUCGUAUGCUUUUAUAUCGCAUUGCUUUAGCUAGUUUUAUCAGCAUAUAAAACUCCAUUUAUAAAUGAAGUGAGCCUUAUUAUCAAAAGGUAAAUGAAGUGAGCCUAAACACUUAUAGUUUGCAACAAUUAUAAUUAAUGGCACUUGUCUUGGAUCUUAUCAUAACAGCCGAGUUUGAACAUUUUAUCUGAAGCUCAAUCAAUAUUUCUAUAUAUAUAACUCAAGCCAAGCUUGAGUAGCUUAAAUAUAAAAUGUUAGCAAAUAACGGUUAUAAUUUAGUAAAAGGUAUAUUAUAUUAUGAUAAGAUAAAUGAUUAAUAUUUAGCUAGCUCUCCUAAUGUCCAUUGCUAAAGAUUUGCAAUUAAUGUGACAUCAUUACCUUAUUUUUGAGUAAGUAUAUGAAGAAUGCAAAUAAAAAUAUACAUUAUACACACAAUUAUGUGUGUGCAUAUAUAAAGCUAUUUUGACUAAUGUUACCUUGUAAAGAAGAUCCUCUUUAUAAUAAAAUAACCGGUAAAAUGCUCUGCCCUUCAAAACAAAUUGAAAAUGCAUGUCCAUCGUAAACAUUAAUCCAUUUAAAGCUAGAGCUCUCACGUACCGAAGAAAUCGACGAAGUUGUAGCCAUUGGUCCACCGGCCGGUGGGAAUCGAGUCCGGGAAGUCGAUGCCGUAAGGAAGAAAGUUGACCUUGCCUGCACCCGGCAGGUAGUUGUUGUUUCCGACGUCCGCCGUGGAGUCACCGAACACAUAGAUCGCCGGAACCUUUGGCUGAGCAUUCCCAAUCACAGACAGAGAAAAGAAAAGAGCAAGGAGAAGAACAGGAACUAACGCCAUGGCUGCUGCUUCUAAUUAAGCUCUGACGCUAUCGUUCCUCAUCUGGCUCUUAUUUAUAGACUAGGGGAGCGGGGUAAGAAGCUGAUGAAAGCCGCCGUGGCCAGCUAUAACUCAAAGUUGUGGAAAGCGUGCGUAUAUAAGAUAAAGUCGUGAUAGUCUCCGAUCCAGCGGGCGUUAGGUUUCCGUUAGCAGACAAGGUGGAGCCCUAAGAGUGUUUUCUGGAUAAUUACGCAGGAAAGUUUUAAUUUUCUUCUUAAAAAAAGUUUUUUUUUCUGACUGAUCAAAUUUAUAUCCAUGAAAACUUUAUAUGGAUAUAAAGAAAGCUAUAAUUUUCAAGCUAGACGAUCCAUACGGCUAUGAUACCAUAAUAUUAGAAUUUUAUAAGAUAAUUAAAGUUACUUGAAAAAGAAACCAUUGAUGUCGUCCCUAAUCUCUCGAAUCAACCAAACUGCAAUCAUAAAAAUAAAUUGAGUUGGACAUGCUCCUCGCGGUUCAUGAGUAGCAUCUUGAUUUUUCAAUUUCAACUUUGAGUAUUUUUGAUGGGAAGGACCUCAAGCUUUCGAAUGAAUUGGAGACUAAAUUCGUUGGUGUUGUUCUUUUAUAACGUGCCUCACCCAUUAGAGAUAGUAUCUGAAUCAGUCACCAAUGAAUGAGAUGAAAACUAUUCACCUUGAUUAUAUAGAGGUUAAUUUUAUUAUAAUAACCAUUAAGUAUAUCUUUAUCACUUUAUCAGAGACUUAUCUUUCAUCAAAGUCCAGUUCAAAUUAAACCAACUAAAACAAAUGAGGAUGCAUAUCAGUAUGGGCCAAAUCUAGAUAGAGCUUAAUCGGAUAAAUUCUAAUAAAUAUUAUUCUUUUUUUAGCUAUUAUUUAUAGAGUAGGGGAGUGGGGUAACAAGCUGAUGAAAGCCAUCAUGGCCAACUAUAACUGAAAGUUUGUGGGAAGCGUGCAUAUAUAAUUAACUAAUAAAUCAACUGUUGAAUUUUAGGUAUUUUGCAUGCAGAUUUUAAAAUAAUUUUGAAUAAAAGUAGUAGAAGACUAUAUUAAAUCAGAUUUAAUCCUACGCAUGCAUAGAUUUAAUUUAAACACCUAUGGAUCUAGUUUAUAUAAUGAUAAAUAAGAUUAAGAGCAUUUGAUUUUAGAGAAUAAAAAUAAUUUUAUGAUAGAAUCACAUAUCUGAAUCGCUGAACUCCUUCUUCAGAUCUGAAUAUGAGGAUAUCUCAUGUUCUGGUAUAGCCACGCACAUACCCGACCUCUAUGGAUAUCCACACGAGGUCUGAUCUAAUCAAAGACUCUUUGAUCUUUUCAGGAUGCUAGCUCCCUUAUAAAGAUUGCUUCCUUAAUAGUUGAAAAGAACCUUCUUUAAUCUCUAAGACUCUUUUAAAUAAGAAGAAGACUAGGAGGAAGAAGAUGAGAAAGAAGCUAUGAGAACCCUUUCUCAUCUCACUUCUCUCUUCUCUCUAAAACCCAAUGCCCAAGAGGAACCCAUGCCCAAGCUCACACUUCAAGGAAGGUUUUCUGAUCUUAUUUCCACAUCCCAAAGCCCCCUUAUUUAUAGAUGGCAUCCAUGAGUUGGAUAGGAUUUAGGUUUUAACAAGGUCAACACCUUAUCAAACUACAACUCCUAUUUUGAUUCAUAACCAAAUUGAUUUAAUUCCAAAUCCAACCAGAUCUGAAAGGGGAGCAAAGGAGAACAUGUGUAAGGCUUGGUGUGAUGUUUUGGACAUGCAAAAACCAUGGGGAUGCGGUAUUCCUAUAGGCGUGGAUAUGUGGGAUGCAUGAAGAUAGAAUUCUAGUCCAACUAGUUAGGAUUCCUUUAAGUGCUAAUUUAAAUUUGAUUUUAUCCUAACCAACUUAGGAUUAGGUAGCAUCCAAAUCAAGCUAAUUCCUAGCUCAAUUAAAAACUCAAAUUAAAUCUGAAUUAUAUCCUAAUCUGAUUAGAAAAUUGAUUCAAUCAAGUUCUAGUCAAACUAGGAAUUGAUCUCCUUAUAUAAUUGGGUUACUCAUAAUCUAAUUAGGCUUAAUCUAAUCAAAUCUAAACCAUACCAAAUUAAAUAUAAUUUAAUUAGAUCUGAUUUGAACCUCAUAGCUCAAUCAAAUUGAGCAGACAAUAAUCUAAUUGCUAAUUGAUCCUCCUAUAAUUCACUAACACUUAGCGAAUUAGUUAAUUAUAAUUUUUACAUCAUCAAUAAUAUUGAUAAUUGAUUUUUAUUAUGAUUCAUAAUCGUAACUCAACCAUCUGAUCAGUCAAGAAUCUCUUUUUUGUGUGUGACUCUAUAGGUUCUUGUUCUGUCUAAUAGUGAGAUAUACCACGAUCUCCAUCAUAGUAUCUUUUGAUGGGAUAGAAUAAUUUUAACUUACACUCGAUAAGGAUUAUCGAUCUGAAAUGAUCCUAGUGAGUUCUCAUAAUCCAUUAGUGAUGUCUAGCAUCAUGUAGUGGCGAUCCAGCAGAAUAAAAAAUAAAAACUCUAGAUGUAGUUACCAUAUGAUUUAGUUUCUCUGUCAUGAGUUCUAGCAAGAUGGAGGUUAUGAAAACUCAUCAAACCCCAACAUCCAUCAUAUGAAAGAUUAGAUUAGCUCAGGUUCAAAUAUGAUAUUUAUGAAAAUUUUUUCCCAUCAAUCACCUUGCUAUGGCCAUAGAUUUAUGGACUUAGCUUCUCAAAUUUUAUAGGACUAUCUUUUAUCUAUUAAGAUCGAUAGAUGCUUUAUAAGUACGCAUCCUACUCCUACAAUGAACCUACUGUAGCCAACAUAUACUACAAAGAUCCAAAUGGCUAAGAGAUCAUAUUUAUAUGUAGUGAAACUACAGCAACUCUAUUAUGAGCGGUCGAGGUACUGCAGGUCAAAAAAUUACUCACACCACUACAGCAUCGAGAAGAUCACUGACGAGUGAGUAGAUAUCCAUAUGAUCUCUCGUAUGGUUACACUCAGUAUCAAUGUUCUCCAACAACCAUCCGCACUCUCGCUCAAUAUCUCUACAUUGUAGAUUCGAGACUCGUCUAUCUCGAAGAAAAUGAUCUGUGUGUCGAUCUAAUUGGAUCAAUUACCAUUCCUAUGAUGAUUCAUUGAUUUGAAAUAAUUUAAGAAUUAAUUAUACAUGUCUCAAAGUCUAAACUCUUUAGAAUAUGUAUCUUUAAAUUAUUAAUUUUUUGGAUGAUUUUCAGAUAUAUAACACAAUAAUGGAUAAAAAUUAUCCAUUUUAUUGAUAAAUUAAUUAUUUAAAUAUAAAAAUAUAUUCUAGAAUUAUUACAAUGUGUCUGUCAUAUUGACUUCUAGAGUAUACAUCUAACAUCAACAAGAAAGAUAAAGUUGUCAUAGUGUCCGAUCUAGUGCCCAAGGGGUGUUAGGUUUCCAUAAGUAGACAAGGUGGAGCUAAUGAGUGUUUUCUGGAUAAUUACAUCAAAAAGUUUUAAUUUCCUCCUAAAAAAUUUUGGAUAAAUCAUGUAUCCCUGAACAAAGUCAAAUUUUCUUAAAAGAUUUCUAAACUAUAAAAAGCUAAAGUUUAGUUCCUGUACUUUCUGAACCAUUUAGAUAUGAUCAUUUUCUCAAAUUUUGAUCACUUUCUCUCAUCGAAAAUCCCAGUUGGUGAUAAUCGAUGCUUACGUGGUACAAAAUAUCUGAUAAAGAUGACAUGACAAAGAUGGUGUGGCAUAACGAAUGAAAAUUUUUAUUUUAAUGACAUGGUAUGGGUGAUGACAUGACAUCUAAUGUAAAAUUUUUUGAAAGUAUCCAAUCAUCGAGUGAUAUAUCAGCACUCAUAGAUGACGUGGUGUAGAUGAUAACGAGUAUAUAUUAUAAAAUUUUUCAAAAGUAUCCAAUCACCAAAGGACAUGUCAAUCCUCAUAGGUACGUGGCAUAGAUAAUGUGGCAUGGAUGACGACAUGGCAUCUACUAUGAAAUUUUUUGAAAAUGUCUAUUCACUAAGUGACACGUCAUCACUCAUAUUAACGUGGCAUAGAUAAUCUGUCAUGGAUGAUGACAUGGCAUCUAAUGUGGAGUUUUUUUCAAAAAUAUCUAAUCAUCGAGUGACACAUCAGCAUCCAUAAGUGACAUAGCAUGUGCUUUGAAUUUUUUUGAUAGUGUCCAAUCAUUAAGUGACAUGUUGGGAACCACAUGCCAUGUCAUCACUCAUGUUCCAUAAAUUAUAUGAUGCAUCCUCUAAGUUUCAUAAAUAUUCCUAAAUAGUCCUUAUACUUUAAAAAUAUUUAUAAUUAGGUCCUUUGAUUUUCUAGUAUGAUUUAGUUUAACCUUUCGAGUAUGAUGGAAGAGAAGGUGAUGAUUCUGAUGCGGGAUGAGUUAUUAGAUAUAUUUAAAAAAUCAAAAAUGGUAUCAAUAUUCAAAAUAGAGAGCUAGAUUCGAACCCCAAGAUGGUCUUAAAGUAAAUCAGGUUCGGAGAUCUGAAGAUUGCGAUGGUAACAUAACGAUAGUUGUGGACCAGCAUUAGUCUUGGCUGACUAGGUCCUCGGGUAUAGCCAAAAAAAGUAAGGAUUAGCUACAGCCGACUUAAGGGCAGUCCAAAUUGGGUAGGUCAUCCCGAUUUGGCAAGAAACUCAUUCUGGAAGAGUAAGUCUUCUUACAAUCAUAGAAAAGCCUGAUAAGGAAGAUUUAACCUCAAAGAUUAGAUUCCACCCCAAAAGAUAACUGCCGGUUGGCUCCACAUUGCAGAUGAAGAAAUCCAAUCUCCUCUAGUGCGAUUCACACAUUCUUUCUGGGAACGACCAGUCCCCCUGGCGUGCAUAACUUUUACUUCUCUAUAAAUAGGGGGAAAAAGGGACCCCAGUUAAGUUCACACAACACCUCAAAAUACUCUCUCUCUAUAUAUUCUCCAAUUCUGAGCUGACUUAACCAUCGGAGGGUCUCCAUCAGAAAUACUUUGAUUAGGGACUUCUUGUGGGUCCUGCUCCCGCAUCUGGAAUGGUCUUGCUCUCCCACAUCUGGAGUGGUCUGUCUUAGAACCUCGUCUCCAAUCGAGGACCCUAUUUUCUCACCUUCUCUUGAGGAGUCUUUGGCCGAGGAGUCCAACAUCUUGCUUACAUUCGAGAAGACCAGUUUCAAACUCUUUGACUUGAGAUUUGGCAGCAACAGCAGUGACAACAAAAAAAUAUGCGGACUCGACAUUCUCAGUUUUGCCAUUGCCAAGCUCGCUACUGCUGUCGAAUUUCUCCUUAAAAAAAUAGAUCGAUAAUCGUGAAUUAUACAACCAAGGAUCUCAGGCAUUUGCUCCAACUACAGUAGAAUAGAUCUCCUAAUUAGGAUCUCAAUCAUUGUUUUAUAAUUUAAAAAAUAUCUAAUUAAAUCUUUUGAUUUUCAAAUAUGUUUUAAUUUACACUCUGCUGCUGCCCUAACGCUCAAAUGGCCACCGCCGCCGCUGCCGCCCCGCUGUCCCCGCGUAACUCUACCGCAGCGGCCCCGUCGCUUGGAUGGACACCGCAUGCCCGGGAGCCAUGCUCCACUAUGCUGGAUGCACCCAUCGCUCGCAUGGACACCACCACUGCAUGGUUCCACCGUAGUUGGUCCCGCUGCCCCACCUUGCGGUAGCUGCCUUCGCGUGCCUCUGUCGCCGCCGACCUCGCCGCUUGGACGAACGCCACUUAUGCGUGGUUUGACAUUCGGCGACACCGCCACCACUUCCAGACCCCCCACACAGACGCCAAUGAUGAUGCCACCGCCACCGGAACACCCUCGCAUGACUCCAUUAUAAUGGGCUCCAUUGCUCAGAUGGAUGCCACAUGCCGCGAAGCCGCAUGCCGCCAUGCCAGCUGCACCCAACGCCAUCCGUUGCUCGCAUGGCCGCCGCCGCAAUCGUAGCCACCUUAGCACGGCUCUGCUGCAGUUGGCCCCACCGCUCAGACGAAUGUCGCAUGCAAGCGGUUCAACAUCCAGCAUCAUAGCUGCCACAGCUGCCUCACAUGUCUCUACCUCUGCUAGGACGGUCGUCGAUCCAGCCGCUCAGAAGGACACUGUGCAUGUGUUCCGAUGUCCGAUAGUGCCACAAUCGCCUUUGCGUGACUCUAUUGCCACAACUGGACCAGCCAUAUAGAAAGAUGCUGCUGCAGUGGGCCCCACCUCUAAGAUGGAUGCUGUGUGCCUCGGAGCUUUGCUCCACCAUGCCGGCCACAUCUAUCGCACACACGGAUGCCGCCACCAUCGUAGUCGGCCCAGCCACUCAGACGAACACGACAUGCAUACGGUUCUAUGUUCGUGCCACCGCUGCCAAAAUUGUCUUCGCACAUCUCUCUCACCGUCUAUAUGCCCAACGGCACCACUGCUCAGAUAGACUCGCAUUUGACAUCAGGCUCCAUGGCAGUCGACCCCAUUGCUUGCAUGGAUGCUGCAUGGAGGUGGUUCGAUGUUGGAUGCCACUAUUGCCACAACUGUCCUUGCACACAUUUACCACCACCGACAUAGCCCGACAUUUACCACCACCGAGAUAGCCGUCGGGCCCGCUGCUCAGAUGGACGUGAGAUGUGGUCUGACAUACAGCAGUGCGCAGCCGCCAUGUCGCGACUGUUUGGAUUUGAAAUGCGUCCAAUGAUUCGUCUCACUUAAGAAUCAUCACAUUCUCUGUUAUCACGAUGGAAAGGUUGGAUUAAAUCAUAUUUGAUAAUAAAAUAAUUUAGUUAAAAAUUUUUUAAAUAUAAAAAUUAUAUAAAAAUAUUUAUAAAAUUUUGAGAUAAAAAAUAUAAUUUAUUAUAUAGAUGAUGAUGUAGAAUAGAUGAUGAUGUGACUGACAUAUAAAUGCUGAUGUGGUACUGAAUUACUAAUGUAUCACAUGAUAAUUGGAUAUUUUCAAAAAAAUUACAUUCCAUGCCACAUCAUCGUAUAUGUGCCAUAUCAUCUAUGCCACAUAUAUGUACCGUAUCAUAAUAUAUGUGUCAUAUCAUCUAUACCACAGCACUAUGGGCAUUGAUGUGUUAUCUUGUGAUUGGAUGCUUUCGAGAAAAAUUCCACAUUAGAUACUAUGUCAUCAUCCAUGCCUCGUUAUCAUGCAUGUGUCACGCCAUCUAUGCCACAUCACCUAUGCAUGCUAAUGUGUCACUCGGUGAUUGAAUAUUUUUGAAAAAAUUUUAUAUCAGAUGCCAUGUCAUUACUCAUGCUAUGUUAUCACGUAUGUGCCACAUCAUAUAUUCCACAUCACCUAUAAAUAUUGAUACGUCACUUGAUGAUUGGACACUUACAAAAAUUUUAUAUCAUAUACCACGUCAUCAUCCAUGCCAUAUCAUUAAAAUAAAAUUUUUAUCUGUUAUGCCAUGUCAUCACUUAUAUGCUACGUCAUCUAUAUCAUGUCAUCUUCAUCAGAUAUUUUUCACUACGUAAGUAUCGGUUAUUGCCAGCUGAGAUUUCUGAUGAGAAAAAGUGGUCGGAAUAUGAAGAAAGAGCCAUAUUACGAUGGUUCAAAAAGUACAGGGACUAAACUUUAGUUUUUUAUAGUUUAGGGACUAUUUAAAAAAAAAUUGACUUAGUUUAGAGACCAAAAACAUAAUUUCUCCAAAUCUUUUUUUUUCUUUGUUGUAGGCCAGAUCUAUAUUCAUGAAAACUUUAUAUGGAUAUAAAAAAAGCUUCAAUUUUCAAGCCAAAUAAUCUAUAUGACUCUGUUACCAUUAUAUUAAAAUUUUAUGGGACAAUAAAACUUACUUUAAAAAAAAGCCAUCAAUGCCAUCUUCGAUCUCUCAAAUCUAUCUACUUGUAAUCACAAAAAGAGAUCAAGCUGAAUAUGCUUCUCACUAUCUACGAGCAGUACCUUGAUUUUGUAAUUCUAACUCUGAAAUUUUCAAUUGGGAGAACUUCACAAGCUCUCGGAUAAGUUGGAGAUCAAAUCCAUAAGAAAUAUUCUUUUAUAACGUAUUUCACCCAUCGAGGUAGUAUCUAAAUCAAUCACAAUGACUAAGAUGGACAUUAUCCAUAAUGAUCAUGUAAAUAUAACUUUAUCACAAUAACCAUCAAGUAUAUCAGUCUAAAUCAAAUUAAAUCAACUAAAAUAAAUUUCGAUAUGUAUUAAUAUGGGACAUAUCCAGAUGAAGCUUAAUCGGAUAAAUUCCAACCGAUGCUUCUAACCUCUGAUGCUAUUAUUCAUCCUCUAGUUGUUAUUUAUAGUAGGAAGCUGGGUAAGAAGCUGAUGAAAGCCAUCAUGGCCAACCAUUAACUGAAAGCUUGUGGAAAUCGUGCAUAUAAACCAAGAAGAAAGGCAAAACUACCGUAGUGUCCGAUCCAAACGCCCCAUAUGCAGACAAGGUGGAGCCUGCGAGUGUUUUCUAGGCAAUUACGUUGGAAAGUUUUAAUUUUCUCCUGAAUUAUUUUCCUUUUUUUUUUUUUCUGCUGACUGAAGGGGAGGUCCUGUGCCACCUAAAUUUUAUUGGGUGAGAUAAUAGAAUUACUUAACGGAAGAAGGCAAGAAAAGAAAAAAUUACAAAAUUAUACUAGAGCAAAGAUAGUAAUGUUAAAACCGGACACAUCAUGGAUGGUAAAGCUUCCAAGUUCCGUUCGUGGAGGGUAAGUCUUCAGCCAGCCAGCAGAUGGUGCCUCUACAGCUUUCUAUCAGUCUAUGGAGAAACUAAAAAGAACCUUGUGGGAGUGGAACAGUCUCAAAGCUUUCUUGUCAACAACCAAGAGGAUCCAAAUUUUUUCGAUAAAAAUUUUAAUUAUUUAUUUUUUGAAAAAAAUUUAAAAACAUUCUUAAUAGCCCAACGUUUGAUAUUUAAAUACCGAUAUACAUAAUUAUUGAUUCUCCAUUGUUUAAGGUUUAGGUGGACACAUGCACAUGCUUACUCUUUCACUCGACGGAGACAUCCCGGCCAAAUUAAAAGCGCUGAUUCCCAAUUUAAAUUUCAGUUACGAAUUAGGCUAAUAGUCAUGAAGGUCUUUACUAAGAGACUACUAAGACUAAGCAUAUAAAAGAUCUCCGACUCUCAAGGUUUAAAUACAAAAAUCUAGAUGAAGCCUUGUGCUACUACUCCAAGAGAGCAUCGUGCUAGCCUUUCAAAUUUCAUUGAAUUUCCUUGUUUUCCACUCAAUUUCUCUCUUUUCAAAUUUUUUUAAGCCUUUCUUGCUCUUCUUGUGGAAGAAUUGAAAGAGCCUAUCCAUCAAAUCUCCAUGCAAUUGUGCUCACCAUAGAAAGCUUUAGGCUGAGUUAGGUUCACUACUUCACUGUAUCUCAAAGAAGAUCUCAUCAUAAACUCGAACAAGAAACGAAAUUCAUUCUUAGGAUAACUUAUUUCAAACACACCUUCUUUCCAAUUAUUAUUUACAAUUUAUCCAUCAUUAGAUCUAAAAUAUUAAUCUUGUUUUAUGCAAUUAUUAGUAAUUUUUAUGAAAUAGCAUCCAAAAUAAAAUUUAUCUUAACAAGGAACGGGACUAGGGUAGUCUAACAUAGUUUUCCUUAUGUAAUUGUUUUGAAGAUUAUCCAUUACAAGAACGUAAAACAUAUAGUGAGAAUAAAAUAAUAUGAUAUUUAUUUAUUAUGAUUUGGAUUUAAAUAUAAAAAUUUUUUAAGGAAGAGAUGCCAGCCUACUUAGCUAAUGGCUACAGGAAAGGAAAAAUGGCUGUUAUCCACCGAGUUUGUAUGGCCCUAAAAACUAUAAUAUCUCGGUUUCUCUCUGUUUUGUUUUUUAAUUAAAAACGUUAGCUUCCUUAUGUAAACAAAAAAAAAAAAAAAACGUUAGCUUCCUUUAUCUCGUGUCUGCCCACUCCCAUAACAAAAGGGCCCGACUUUAGACUUUAGUAGGGCCCACUUCGUCUGCCCGGAUUAGAAUCCAACUGUUGGCAAAUAAGUUUUCUGCUGAUUUAGUCGAAAUAACUGAGGACGUGCAGGAGAAAUUAUUAGACGGAUGUACGGUUUUAUUCCCAAUCCUGUUUUGAUCUUGAAUAGAUUAAAUAAAAAAUAGAGGUAAUGUGGUGAGUAACUAUUAAAUUGAUCCAAUGAACCAAAUCAUCUAAAAAUUUCUCACAUGAUAGGCGCACUGGAGGUCUUUCUUCUCGCGAUCACCGCAAAGUUGGACUGGUUCGGUGGACUUGUUGCUUCCAAUAAUUUCUCGCAUGAUAGGAGCCAUUAAUGGACCUUUGUUACAGCCAGCAUACAUGUGUUCCAUGAUAGAUUAAUUCAUUGGAUCUAGUUCAUCUAAUUUCUCAUCUGACAUAUAUGGUUGGUAGACUUUUCGUACAAGAGAAAUUAUUGUCUAGACCAUGCCAAAAUAGACCAACCAAAUCGUAUACUAGAUAACAUGCCACAUUAACCUUUGUACUUUACGAAUUCCCAAUUACAUGUUAUCCAUAGUGCAUGUGCUCCGAGAUUGCGCUGGGCGUAUUCCAAACAAUAAUUUCUCCUCUUACAACUAUUUUACAUGUGCCCCGAGUUUUAUAUUGGCCCACUACGCAUGAUCCAUUUAUAAUGCGACACAUGCUAANNNNNNNNNNNNNNNNNNNNNNNNNNNNNNNNNNNNNNNNNNNNNNNNNNNNNNNNNNNNNNNNNNNNNNNNNNNNNNNNNNNNNNNNNNNNNNNNNNNNNNNNNNNNNNNNAUAUAUAUUGUACUUUAUGAAUUCCCAAUUACAUGUUAUCCAUGGUGCAUGUGCUCCGAGGUUGCACUGGGUGUGGUCUAGACAAUAAUUUUGCCUCUUACAACUAUUUUACAUGUGCCUCGAGUUUUAUAUUGGCCCACUAUGCAUGAUUCAUCUAUAAUGCAACACAUGUUAAUUCAUCAUAUAUAUAUAUAUAUAUAUAUAUUUUUUCUAAUAAUAAGAUGCGGUCUUGGAGAUGGCAAGGUUGUUAAUAAUAAGAUGUGGUCUUGGGGAUGGCAAGGAUGCCAUGAAAACAAAUUUUGUCAAUAUAAUAAAAUUUUUGAACCCAAGAGAUGUGAGUACUACUACAAUGACAAAGUAGAGAGUGAAAGAGUAGUUUUAUGAAAAAAUAUUUUAUAUGACUGUGGAGCAUUAACAAAAUUUGGUGCACUGACGAUGAAAUUAACGAAUCAAAACAAUCCUUCUAAUGAGGAAUGGAAAGUUGUUGAGAUAUCUAUAUCUGGUACAGUUAAAUAUAUUCUGAAUUAUAUUCUCAAUCGUUAUGUCUACAUCAAAGAUUAGGUGAGGUUCAAUGGGGUCUGAAGCGUUGCGUGCACGCUUUGUAUAGGUGUUUUUCACAUAACAUGAAUGUCAUAUUAUUUUUUUUUAAUGAAAUACAUGUGAUAUUAAUUAAUCUCUCAAACAGAAUCGUCCGUGCAUCUUCACAAAAAUUGGAUAUUUAUAGAGGAGUCGUAAGGUAUGUUUAUGAUUGUUUUUUUUUUUUUAAAUUUUAUAUAAUAAAAUGACGUUAGUGAGACACUUCCCUUGUAGAUAUAUUAUGCUUAAUAAUAAAAUUAAUGUCGAUGUUUACAAAAUGCGAAGGUAAAAGACAGGUGAGGUUGUUAUGAAUAGCGAAAAGUAGAGUUUGGGGUUGAAGCAGGAGGCGAUGGAUUCGAUUUCCCAGGGGUCUGCAUAGGAACGGUAGAUUAAGUAGAGUAUGGGAUGUAUCCUAUGGAAGAGGAGAGCUUGAAGAGAAAGCUGGAGAACUGUUCAUCUUUUGAGCUCCUCAUCCAGUCCUCAAGAAGGAAUAAGAUUCACUAUUGGGUUCUGACGGAGAGCUUCACAACAAAAAAUUCUGUUACUUCUCUCCAUCCAAAUGCACCAUAAAGUAAUAGCAACUGAGGUGCCGAAAGCUUUUUGAGAUUUUUGUCAGCGUAUCGUUUUCUCCAUGGGAGCCAGAAUUCUAUGACGUCGUCCAGUAGGGUUGUGUAGGGAAGUAAUUGUCUCCAAAUUUUCUUUGGGAAGCGGCAUGAUGUAACAAGAUGGUUUGAGAUUUCGCUGUGAAAACCAUAAAGUGGACAUAGACUAGGACCCUGCAUUCCUUUUUUGUUCAGAACAUCCCAAGUUAGAAUCCAAUUGUUAUAGCAAAGCCAGUUGAAGAUUUUGCAUUUCUCUGGCGGUGGGAGCUUCCGAACCACUUUGCCAAAAUGAGAAAUGAUCCCUCCAUGUAUUAGAAACUCAUAGCACUCAGAAACCGAGUACCUGUUGGAUGAGGUCCAUAUCCAAUGUCUGUGAUCUUUGAAUUCUGUAAGAUGAGUUUUGCUGAGCUUGGUUUGGAGGUGUUGAUAUUCUGUGAUGCCUGAUGAAGGGAGUGGGCACCUGAAGUUGUUUGCCCAAUUUGAUUUGGCCAUGAAUUCUGCUACACUAAUGCUCUUCUCAGUAGCAAACAGAUAUAAAAGUGGGGAAUAAGGUGCUAAAAGAAGAGGUGUCCACCCAAGUAUCGUACUAAAAAGAAGUAUUUUUGCCAUUUCCAAUCACCGGAGAGGAGAUAGAUUUUAUGAUCGGAGCUGUAUUUAAAACACUUCUCCAGAAGGGUGAGGCGAUGUGAUGGAUGUAUUGAGAGUCAAUUGUUGGUUCUACCUUGGCAGAGUAUUCUUUCUGUAUGAGGGUUUUCCAAGGCCUGUCGACUUCAGAAAACAAGGAGUCCCACCAUUUGAGGAGUAGUGCUGUGUUUUGAAUUUUUAGAUUUAAAAUGCCCAAUCCUCCCAGCUUCUUUGGACGAGAUAGCUGCUCCCAAUUCGCAAGAAUUUUAGAUCUGCUGCAAGAAUUUUGAUGCCCCCAAAGCAAGCUUCUACAUAUUUGAUUUAUCCUUUUGAUAAUAGCAGCAGGAAUGUAUAGAAUGGACAUCCAAAAGAUGGGGAUCGCUCUUAACACUGAGUUGUUCGAGACUAAAUGCCCAGCUAAAGUCAAAAUAUUUCUCUUCCACGCUGCUAAUUUUCUUUCUACUUUCUCCACUAAAAACUUCCACUCAGAACUUUUCAUGGAUCGAUGAUUGAGCGGCAGGCCGUGGUAGUGGAAAGGCUGCUUACUAGUCCAACAACCAAGUAACUUGGAUAGCCUUGAUGUCUCAGCAUUUGUAAGUCCAAUUCCGAUUAUCUGAGUUUUACUGAAAUUGAUUUUCAAACCAGUCAAAAGUUCACAGGCAUACAUUAUAAACUUUAAGUUGUUGAAGUAUUUUUUGGUUGGGUGGCAAAAGAUGGCAGUAUCGUCGACACAUUAGACACAGAGAAUGUUAGUAGAAGAGCUCUUAAUUUGUACCAAUACCAACGAUGAGAUCUUCUUUAGCAGCCUGAUGAAAGAUGCGAUAAAGCAAAUGAGCUACGAAAAUAAAAAGAAAAGGGGAUAAGGGAUUACCUUGCUUCAAUACCCUCUUUAUUGAGAACCAAUUUCCAAUUUGCCCGUUGAUCAAUAGUGCAAAUCGAGAGGUAGUGAUAGCUAUUUCACCCAGGAGAUCCAUUUUAGACAGAAACCUCUUUUCUCUAAUAUCUUAAGGAGGAAAGACCAAGAGAUUCUGUCAACGUCUUUUCCAAAUCAACCUUUAUAAACGUCCCUUUCCUAUUGAUCCUUUUGCAAUGACAAAUUAUUUCUGAAACCACAAUGAAGUUUUCAAAUAUUUGGCGUCCCUUGUUUAGUGCUGAUUGGCUGAAAGAAAUUAAUGAUGCAAUGAAACACCUCAAUCUUGUAGCUAAUAGUUUGGAGAAGAUUUUGAUUAUAGAAUUUUCUAAGCUGAUUGGCCUAAAAUCUUUAACAGAUGGAUUAUCCCUUUUCUUCGGGAUGAGAGUGAUGAAAGAGUAGCUGAACCCGGAGACAUCGCAUGUUCCAUUAUUUAAGGAUUGGAAAAAGAUCAUAAUAUCAUCUUUGAUAACUUCCCAAUAUAUUUGAUAGAAGGAUGCAGGAAAGCCAUCUGGUCCGGAUGCUUUACCCUUGGCCAAAUCUGAAAUUGCUAAUUUCACUUCAUCUAUAGUAAUAUCGCUUCUAAGUCAGACAUGUUUAGUGGACCUUCAGGGUAUAGAAAAUAUUAGAUGUAUGUUCUAAAAGUCAAUCAAACCGAUACAUAUAUUUAUUUUAAAAUAUAAUUUUAUAUUUUAUAUUUUUAUUAUCAAUGAAAUUGGAUUUAUUUAAUCCUUUCAUAUUAUUUAUGUAUUUAUAAAUCAUCCAAAUAAUUAAUAAGAUCAUAACACAUAUUUCAAAAAUUAAAAAUUUCAGGUAUGUAUCAUUGGUGAUUAAUUUUUAAAUAUUUUCGAUCGAUAGAUUAUCAUAAAGCUGGUGAUUGAUCUGGAGAAAUUGAUGCACAUAUUACUUUUCUUUUAGGAUAGACGAGUCUUGAGUUUACAAUAUGAAAAUAUUGAAGUAAGAGUACAGAUAAUUAUUAGAGAACAAGCAUGCCGAGUAUGAUCGAUAUGAGAAGUCAUUUGGAUGUCUACUCACUCAUCGGUGACUUGCUCGAUAUUGCAGUAGUGUAACUAGUCUUUUGACCUGUAGUGUCUUGGCUAUUUAUAAUAGGAUUACUGUUGUUUGACUAUACAUAUAUUUAGUCUUUUAGCCAUAUGGACUCUUGCAAUAUAUUUGGCUACAAUAGGUUCAUUGUAGGAAUAUGGUGUGAACUUAUAUAGAAUCUAUCGCUCUUGAUAGAUAAGAAAGAUGGUCUUAUGUGAUUUAUAAGAUUGAGUUCAGAAGAUCUUCAUCAAAACAGUGUAAAUAGUAGAACAAAACUUUCAGCAUUUUCAUAUCAAAAAUUCGAGUUGAAUAAAUUUGAUAUAUGAUAGAUGUUGAGAUUUGAUGAAAAAUUUCAUAACCGCCGUCUUGUCAGGACCACGAUAGAAUGACUUAGAUAGUAAUUGUAUAUAGAGAUUCAUCCAUUUCAUUCUAAUGAAACGUUACUACAUACUGUUAGGCGUCACUAGUUGUUGUCCAGCUAUACAACUCAAGAGGGGGGUGAAUUAGGUUCUUAAAAAAAUUAAGUAAAAAAGUGCUACAAAAUACACCUUAGAUGAGAUAUAUGAUGUACAAUGGAAAUAAUGAACAAUGUGUUGGAUAUUAAAAUAAGUAAGAAGUUAAUAUAAGAGAGCAAGAAGAAAAAUUAAGACACCACAAUACAAAGAUUUAUAGUAGUUCGGUGCUAACCUAGCACCUACAUCCACUUUGCAAGCUCCUACUUGAAAAUUCUAUUCCACUAAUUAUAUUCAACGAUUAUAAUAUCGAAUUCUAUCAAUCCUAACUUUUUUCUAGUUAGAUAUUUAUUUUUUGGAUACAAACCAAUCCUAUACACUCCAAUUCUAGGUUCGGAUCAACCUUUCCCUAAGUUUUAGAAUAUCUAAAACUUAUACACACAAGGACAAGUGAGAAGAAGAAGUUAUAUAAUGACAAUCAAGCUAAGCUCUUUAGUAAGCAUAAUAAAAUAGUAAAUGCACUUUAUACAAAGUUGAAGAAGCCUUUGAAAAUACCUUCAAUUGGAGUAGAGAGUUAAAAGCACUUGAGAAAGAUGGUUGAACUUGAAAUGAAUGCUUCUUUGUCUUGAAACUUUAAUCUCUUUUUAAAUAGAUUUUCUCUUAAUAUUUUUUUAAAUUUUUUCUCAUUUUGAAUACUUUUAUAUCUUCAAUCAAUAUUAAAAAAUAUCUAGUAACCAUUUAGAGCCAUUGGAGAGUGAUUAAUUGGCAUUAAAUAUAUUAAAAAUAGGCUAGAAAACUAGCUAUUAUGGACUUUAGUAUCUUAGGGGUCGACCCAUGGGUCCUCUCUUGGCAUAGGAGUCAUUCCAUGGGUCGUCCUCUAUGAACAGAAAAGAAAAUUGACCUCUAUUUGAGCUUGCGAUAUAGUAGGGGUCAAUCUAUGGGUCGCCUCCUGGCAUAGGGGUCGCCCCAUCAGUCAUCCUCUAUUGUAUGCCAUCCCAAAAAUCAGCAUGCCAAUAUCCCAUUUCAAAAAGAGAUGAUCUUAGGAUCGUCCCCUCAAGUCCAGAAUAGAUUUUCUUUCAUUUUUGGAUUUCGAACAUUCCAAAAUUGCCUCCAAAUGUUCCAAAAUCAUCUUGGAUGCUCUUGAGGCCUCCAAAAAAUAUUAUUCUCAUAUCCAACUUGAUGAAUUUAUAACUUUAGCUUUCUCCAAGCAUCUUUAUCAAUUCAAAAUUUUUGAAUUUUUUGAAAUAUAAACAUAAAUUUUUUCAAAGAUAAAAAUCAUUAGUACUCCUUUAAUAUUUUGUAGUCAUCAAAAUUAAUUCUUAGGUUAAUAAUUUUUUUCUUUUUGAUGAUGACAAAAUAUUUGAGUAUAAGUAGAAUAAGGUAUGUAAAAUAUUGGAGUAAAAUAGUGCAAUUAAAAAUGUAUGAGCUUAAGAUCAAAGUAUAUACAAAUAUAUUCAAUUUGAUGUAUCUUUUCAAGGCAUGAGUUUUAAGCUAAUAUAUUAAGACAUGGUAUCAAGGCCAAGUUAGACAAUAUGAUACAUCGUUAGAGUGAAUGAUAGAUAGUGCAAAUAUAGUAUAAACUUCAAUUUUGACUAGAUGAUUUAGCUCUUUUUAGAAAAGUAGUUGCGGCUACGGUCCUAACAUAUAUUAGUAGAAAAUUUAGAAAUUUAGCCAAUCAAGCAUAUAUUUCAAAAAAAUAUCAAUCAAGCAUAUAUUUCUACUUACACCAUAAACAAUCGACUCCCUCUUUUUGGCAUCAUCAAUUUAGAUAAGAAAUACUUCAUAAUAUCUACUCCCUCUUUUUUUAUCAAAUAAGAAAUCUACUACUUAAAUGAUAAGAUGAUCCAUAAUCAAGAAUGGGAUACCAUAACAUCACAUUCAAUAUUUAUAAUAGAAUACAUAUUGGACAAUGUCACAUUAUAAUAAGAAGCACAUUUCAUUUAUUAUAUAAUGUUAGUGGAAAUACAUCAAGAUAGUACAUUGAGUUCACAUAAGCCAAAAGUACAUAAUGUCAGUCAAAAUAUAUCAAAAUAUAUAAUAGUAGCCAACAUACAAUAAAAAUAUAACAUCCAUAACCAUAUCCAUAAGCAUACAAUAAGGAUCAUAUAACAUCAUCCAUAAUAACUUGGCAACAGAGUCAAAGGAGGAAGAAAUCUCAUGAUGGAUAAAAGGUCUAGAUGAGGCACGACCACACCAACUCCAACUGCUACUAGAGGAUCUGACACGGGCAGAGGAACAGGAUGGUCUGGAAGGCUGGAAAGGAGUAGGGUCUCUAGAAAGUAACUAAAUCCUAAGAGAGUCAAGUUGAGCUUCAAUUGCCUCAAAGACUGUAGAAGUGAAUCAAUGUCCUUAGAAAUAGUGUCAUCCGAUCCUUUAAUCUCCCACCUCAAUAUCUCAAUCACUAACUCAAUCAAACUAUGCAACCUGCCUGUCUCUAUUGAUAGGUUUGACAAAUAUAUAGUAUCGUCGCUCGAUCUGAUAGGAAGAGUUAGUAUCCUCACCUCUCUAUCCAAAUCUAAGACUCUACCCCUCCAUUGAAGUCAACCGGUGAUCCCCCCGGUACCAUAACAAUAACUUUCACGUCAGUAUUCCACAUCACUGAGUUUGAGAAUAGUAUCAAUAAGAUGCUCAAGUCAGAAAUCAUUUGUGUCACCAUGGAGAUGUGAGGCACCAUGGACUUGUUUGAUGAAGGAGCCAUAUGGUAGCUCUCCUCCUGAGAAGUACCUCUGGCUACAAGAAGAAUAUCAACGAUCUACUCUGAAAUAGUCCACAGCUGAUCAUCCUCCAGUCUGAUAGAUGAACGUCAUAAUCAAUAUAUAGACUGGAGCUUAGAAGAAUCUCUCCCAACUACCUUAGAAGGACCUACCUCAAGCUCAAAAAUAAAGUGAAUGUUGGGGCUAUGCUUGCGAGGUGGUGAAAAUGAUCUCUCUCCCUUAGCUCUAUCCUCCCCCUCAUCAUCACCAAUGCCACUAUACUUCACCUAACAACCAUCAAUUUUGAAAAAAGCCAUCCAAUAUAGUAAAUGGUUAUUGUAGGUAUCCAUAUGGGACAAGCGGCUAGUGGCCUCCCCCUCAAAACUAAUACCAAAACUCCUGAAAAUCAGUAUAAGUGCCAUUCAUAGGGUAAAAGGGCAUUUGUCUAUUGAGGGCCUCAUGCAUUGCCUCAAUAAUAAGUGUAGGAAGAUUAAUGAAAAUUUCACAAAUAAUAUGAUGUAUCACACAGAUAACUCUCACGGAAAGAAAACCAUGUCUUCCUCCUCUAGGAAAAAAAAUUUUCGUCACAAUGUGAUGGAGGAGCCUCAUCUUAACAUUUAAAUUCUCAGUAUCAGUUUUAUCAAUUCCCUUCACAUCUUCUCUUUCCAAAAUAGAUUUAAAACCAUCUUUCUUUUUGAUAAGUUUAUCUGAACUACUUCUCUCAUAGGGUAGAUGAAGAAUAUGACCAAGAUGAUAGGCAUCCAAUAGAAUUUUCACAUCCUUAACAACAGAUCUAGCUCUCCCAUCAGUGUAAAAAAAUUUUUGAUAAAAUUCUCUAACCAGAUCAAUGUAGGUUACUUUCUUAAGCAUAUAGUAAUAUCACCAACCAAGACCCUUGAUCUUUUUUCCAAAUUUUUUUUUUUCUAAAAAUCUAAAGUCAAUCACUACAAAAAAUUAAGUUAUUGGCUACGAAAAUUUUUCAUCACUAAUAAGCCAAUUUCGUCACUAAUAAUAAUUAGCGAAAAAAAUUUCAUCGCUAAAAUUUUAUCGCAAAAAAUACCAUCGUUGAUAAUAUUUUACGAUAAUUUUUUUUUUCAUCACCAAUAAAAAUAAUUUAUGAUAAAAUAUUUUUAUUAUAAAAAACUAAAAAUAAAAAAAUUUAUACAUAAAAAAAAUUAUGAUGAAAUAACAGUCGCUAAUAAAUAACAAAUUAAUAACGAUGAAAACAUAUUCAUAGCUAUUAUUUCAAACUUUUUAGCGACAAAAAUUUUUCAUCACCAAAAAUUUUAUUUAAUUAAAAAAUAAAAAUUAAAAAACUUUAGUGACUAAUAUUUAUGUCAUAAAUAAAUAUUUUUUCGAUAGAAUUUUACAUCGUUGAUAAUUAUUUACGAUAAAAAAAUUUUCAUCACUGUUAAUUAUAUAUUUUUUGAAAAAUUAAAUUAUUUUUAUAAUUUUUUUUAUGAUGAAUAUUUUAUCGAUAAUAAUUUCAUCGCUAAUUAUUUUUUUUAAAAUUUAGAUAUAUUUUUUUAAGUUAUAUGUAUAAUAUUUUUUAUAAAUUAACAAAUUUGAAUAAGAAAUUUGCACAAUAAAAUGAUAAAUAAAUUUUAUUAUUUUAUUAUAUCAAAUUAAAAUUAUAAGAGUUUUUUAAAAAAAUACAUCAAAGAGCCGUCACAUAUCGGCAUGUAGAAAAUGAGGUGGGGAUGGGGAAUGCUCAACGGAGCUCGGACCGGCCUGCUGCUGGCUCAACUGCUGGAUCGUCUGCUCCAUGUGCGCCAUCCACUCUAUCAUCUGGAUCUGGAGCUGCUGAUACUAGUCGAUGCAUAUAGCCAGCUCCUGAGCUCGCUGCUCAGCCUACUGUCGAUCCUCGACAGCCUGUCUCUGCAUCUCCAUCAACCGAGCCUGGCAUGUAGAAUGGAUCUCAGCCUUAGAUGAUCGUGAAGAUGAAGGAGCAGUGAUCCCAUAUCCUAGACUCCUAAUAUAACAAGGUCUCGUAUCGAGCAUCCGAUCACAGAUCUCAUCAUCUAUGGGUGUGGUCGAGUCCUCAAGAGUAGGCUGGGAUCUCAUAUCAGUCAUACGAUUCUAAAAAUAAAAAUUAGAGUUAUUUUAAUUUUUUAAUAAAGAUCAAAUUAUGAAUAAAAAAUUAAUUGAAAAAACUUACAAAAAGGUCCUAGCUCCUUGUCGUCCACUCCCCCGACCGUCGCUGGUGGGUCCGCUGGUAGAUAUCGAUCCUACCAGGAAGCUCGUCACUCUCAGCAUCUCUCUACAAUUUGAGAAUUAUUUAAAAAAAUUUAAAUAAUUAGAGAAAUAUAUCAUAAUUAAAAAUUUAAAAAAUACAUACCAUGUGCUUCAUAUGGCGAGCAAAUAAUCCGAACCCCCACAAUGCGACACAGUCUGUCUCAUCCGAUUCGUCGCAUUCUGCAUACAUCGUCUCUAUAAAAUUAGUAAUAAAAUUAGUAGAUAAUAAAUAUAAUUUAAGAAUAAAUGAUUAAGUCAUUAAAAUAUAAAAAAAAAAGUUUAGAUGUGUAACCUGAUAUGUCGGAUCCUCGUAAUGCCGACAUAUGGUAGUCCAAUCGUCGAUGGUGAUGCUGUUGUAGGGCUGCAGCCGCACUGCCUCCUGCCCAUGAGCCUGCACUACCUGAUACCAAUGCUGAUGCAUGUAAUGGUGAUAAUCUUUGAAGUGCAAAGAUAGAUGGGUAUCGAUCGCUUGCCUCACAUGAUUAUUCUCGAAAUCGAUGAUGUCAAAUNNNNNNNNNNNNNNNNNNNNNNNNNNNNNNNNNNNNNNNNNNNNNNNNNNNNNNNNNNNNNNNNNNNNNNNNNNNNNNNNNNNNNNNNNNNNNNNNNNNNNNNNNNNNNNNNNNNNNNNNNNNNNNNNNNNNNNNNNNNNNNNNNNNNNNNNNNNNNNNNNNNNNNNNNNNNNNNNNNNNNNNNNNNNNNNNNNNNNNNNNNNNNNNNNNNNNNNNNNNNNNNNNNNNNNNNNNNNNNNNNNNNNNNNNNNNNNNNNNNNNNNNNNNNNNNNNNNNNNNNNNNNNNNNNNNNNNNNNNNNNNNNNNNNNNNNNNNNNNNNNNNNNNNNNNNNNNNNNNNNNNNNNNNNNNNNNNNNNNNNNNNNNNNNNNNNNNNNNNNNNNNNNNNNNNNNNNNNNNNNNNNNNNNNNNNNNNNNNNNNNNNNNNNNNNNNNNNNNNNNNNNNNNNNNNNNNNNNNNNNNNNNNNNNNNNNNNNNNNNNNNNNNNNNNNNNNNNNNNNNNNNNNNNNNNNNNNNNNNNNNNNNNNNNNNNNNNNNNNNNNNNNNNNNNNNNNNNNNNNNNNNNNNNNNNNNNNNNNNNNNNNNNNNNNNNNNNNNNNNNNNNNNNNNNNNNNNNNNNNNNNNNNNNNNNNNNNNNNNNNNNNNNNNNNNNNNNNNNNNNNNNNNNNNNNNNNNNNNNNNNNNNNNNNNNNNNNNNNNNNNNNNNNNNNNNNNNNNNNNNNNNNNNNNNNNNNNNNNNNNNNNNNNNNNNNNNNNNNNNNNNNNNNNNNNNNNNNNNNNNNNNNNNNNNNNNNNNNNNNNNNNNNNNNNNNNNNNNNNNNNNNNNNNNNNNNNNNNNNNNNNNNNNNNNNNNNNNNNNNNNNNNNNNNNNNNNNNNNNNNNNNNNNNNNNNNNNNNNNNNNNNNNNNNNNNNNNNNNNNNNNNNNNNNNNNNNNNNNNNNNNNNNNAACAUUUUACAACAAAAAAAUUAAUCAUAAAAUAUUUUAAUUAUUUUUAAUUUAAAUAUAUUUAUGAUCAAUUUUUUGGUUAUAAAAUAUUAAAAAAAAUUUAUGACUAAAAAAUGUAUCGCAAAAUACUUAAAUUAUUUUUUAAUCUAUAAAUAAUUUUGUGACCAAUUUUUCUAUCACAGAAUUAAUAUUUUGCAUUCAAAAAAUUGGUUGUAAACUUAUUUAUAAAUUAAAAAAAUAAUUCAAGAAUUUUACAAUCAAUUUUUUGAUCAUAAAAUUUUUUAAUAUUUUGUAACUAAAAAAUUGAUUGUAAAUAUAUUUUAUAAUUAAAUAUAUUUAUUUUUAUUUCUCUUUAAAUAUGAUAUAAUUUUAAAAUUUAAAGCUCAUCUUCAUUGUGUAUUAUUUAAAUAAUUAUCGUUAGAGUAUCGUCAUAAAAGACCACCUCGAUCUAACAGCUCUAGCUAUAUCGAUCAAUAAAAUUUAAUUUUAACGGUCACGAACGAUUGCUUGAUGAUCUGAUAGGUAGAGACCAUCAAUAGAUUCAAAAAUUUAUAAUAAUAAUCUCAAUGAUAUUUUAGUAUACGAUCAAAAUUUUACUUCAAUCAGAUAUCAUUAUCAUGAUCAAUUUAGCAUGAGAUGAUUUGAAUCGUUAAAUAAAAAAUAAGUGAUCAAAAUACUAAAUGAUGUUCGAUUAUAAAAUAAUUUUUUAAAUAAAUAAUCUUUACUACUACUUUGAUCAUUUGUACAGUGGUGUUCAUAAAAUCCAAACCGCACGUAUAUGAAUCAUUUAUGUUAAGUAGAUCUUACAAAAGCACAAAUAUAAUUACUUAAGGACUUUAGGAAUAAGUAUCAAUAAAUAUAUAGUUUUGAAUGCAAAAUAUUAAAAAAAUUUAUGAUCAAAAAAUCAAUCAUAAAAUUUUUGAAUUAUUUUUUUAAUCUAUAAAUAAGUUUGUGAUCGAUUUUUUGAUCACUAAAUUUUGUUAAUAUUUUACAACCAAAAAAUCAAUUAUAAAUUUAAUUUUAAAAAAAAAUAAUUGGUGCUACCGAUUUCUUCUUUAUAACCCACCUUCUUCCCUCCCCUCCCUGACCUUUUCCCCUCUUCCCCUCCCUGGCACCUGAAGCCCCUCUUCCCCUCCUUGAUGAUUGCUUGCGAUGCCCUCCUCUCGCUGGCCCGCCUGCGACGGCACCUGCUCCCCUCCUCGACAACCGCUUGUGAUGGCCUCCCCUCUCCUCUGGCCUCCCCUCACCGACCCAUCUGCGAUGGCCCCCUCUUCCCUCUUCAGCGACCACCCGCGAUGGCCUCCCCUCACCAGCCCACCCGUGACAACCUCCCUCACCAGCUUACCCGCGAUGGCCACCCCUCCCUCCCCAGCACCCGAACCCCCACUUUCCCUCCCCAGCUCGCCCACAAUGGCCUGUCCUCCUCUCCCCAGGAACCACCUGCUAUGGGCCCCCCUUGUCGGCCCUCCCGCAACGGCCCCCCCUCCUCUCCCCGACAAUAGCCCGCGAUGGCCUCCCCUCGCCGGCCCACUCGCGAUAGCCUCCCCUCGCCAGCCAGCCUGCGACGACCCCUCUCCCCUCCCUGACGACUGCCCGUGAUGGCCUCCCCUCGCUGGNNNNNNNNNNNNNNNNNNNNAACAAUCAAUUUUAUGAUCAACUUUAUUUAUUAAAAAAUUUAAAAAUAAUUAGUGAUAAAUUUUGAGAUCAAUUUUAUUAAAAUAAAAAAUAUUAUAACAAAAUUAGCGAUCGAUUUUAUGGUCGAUAUAUUAAUUAAAAAAAUUAAAAAUAAUUAACAACUAAUUUUACAAUUGAUUUUAUUAAUAAAAAAAUUAAAAAUAAUUAGCAACUGAUUUUAUGAUUGAUUUAUUAAUAAAAAAUAUUUUAAUAAAUUUAGUGAUUGAUUUUAGCGAUCAAUUGUAUAAUCGAUUUUAAAAAAUAAAAUAUUAUAAAACUUAAAUUAUUUUUUUAUUUUUCUAUCGCUAAAUCGAUUGUAAAAUUUUUCAUCGCAAAAUUUUGCGAUCAAAAUUUUAGCAUCUAAUUAAAAUUGAUCAUAAAAUAAAUUAGUAAUCGAUUUUUAUUAUUUUGCAACUGAUUUUUCGAUCAUCCAUUUACAUAGAUUUCAAAGUGAGUAUCGCAUGAUCCAACAAUAGAUUCACAUGAAGAAAGAUGAAUCUUUUUUUUUUUGGUGCAAUAGAUAGAAAAAAAAUAAGUAACAAUAAGAAAUAUAAAACAACACAGCAUCUAAACCCACGAACAUAGUUUAAGUCCAUUGCAUCCGUUUGCAAUCAAAAAAAGAUGAAUUCUUCUUUGGCACGAAAGGUACAACCCUUGUCUAAAAACUAAGGUUCAGAAUGUAUCUUCCAUGCAAGAGAACGGUUGAUAUUCUUUCAAUUACUCAAAAGUAAUUGAAUCGAGAUAACAAAAAGUUAUGAGAUAUUUAUCAAUUUCAAGAUAUUUUCAGAAUUAAUUGUCAUCAAAUCGAAAGAACCAUAGGUUUGGACUUUAGAUAUUAGAUAUAGAGCAAGUGAUGACACUGGAUGAUUUUGUGUUUUAAAACUAAAAAUAAUAAUUUUUAGAUGCUAGGCAUUUUGUUUCCAAUCAACCUUCACAAAUGCCUGUAAAAUAUCAAACUGAAAUUUUCAUUUUAUCUCUAACAUUUGUUAAAUUCAUUUAUCUUUUUAUGCUUGCAAGCAUAUGUUUUCUUCAUAUUCCUGACUACUUUUUUAACAAUCAAGCAUCCAUUAAAAAAUUGAUCCUUAAAGUUCAAAUAUUUAAAAUUCAUAAAAUUAACGAAAUCAUGAGUUUGAACUAAAAAGAUAAAACAAAAAAUGGACUUAGACCAACUACCAUUGUAUGAUAUUGCAGAUUAGGUGGUUUUUGCCUUUGCUCUUGUUUGUUAUCCUUCUCAUACUAUUAUUGUACAUUUUUUUAUAUUAUUCUUGAGUUUUUUCCCAAAUUUGCGUGAACUGAGUUCUUUCCACAGUUUUAGCUGAUCUUCUUCAUAUUUCCAAAUUUUUCAGUUUCACUUAUAGCUAAAUCGUUACCAUUACAUUUGCGAUUGCAUCAGCAUUGCAAUGUUCUUAAUGAUACUUGAUAAAUCCUAAACCCUUCCUACUAGGUAGGAGCAGGAAAGGGUGACGACAUUUGGCUCUCCUCGCUCCCUCCUCCUCACAACUUGCCAAGAAGUGGUCCAAUUGAGAGUUCUUUCAUGCCAUCAAUGUUACUUGAUGAUCCAUGAUAUCUAAUACUAAAUAUAAUUUGGUUCUUACUCUAAUGCUAAAGUUUGAUAUGUAGGAACUCGUCCACAGCUGGGACAGACAAAUAGUUCAUUAGAUUGGACUCCAACCUUUAAGUCAACAAUAUAUGCAACCCUGGCGUAUUCCUAAAUUAAAUUGACAUGAAGUCAAGACCCUGCUGUGCACAAACUAAUAUGAAAUUAGUUUAUUUUUACCGGUCUAUCAUAUGCUGUAUGACAGGACCCUAAAUCAACCUGACUUAUCCCUCCAUUGUAACGAUGCAAUCCAGAUUGAGUGGGCACUUGGGGCCCUUGGUGACAAUUUUUCCUAUCAUAUCCACGAAAUUUUCCUUCAAUUAAAGUGCAGCCUCCACAUGUCCUAUUUGCAGGCGAUUGUUUGAUUGUUGCUAGAGCACAAAUUCAAGAUGCAAUCUACUUGGCAGCAGUAUUGGAUGUUUAUUGCUCUGGCUCGGGGCAAUCAAUCAACUUCGGUAAAUCUAGUAUUAUCUUUAGCCCAUCCACUCCACUGCAUGUUAAACAUCAAAUUCGUGCUUUGCUCAAUAUUUUUGCAGCUAGAAGUACGUAGAAGUAUCUAGGGUCCUUUAAGUGCUCAUUCCUUGAAUCCUUCUGAUUGCCAAUAUUUGGUAGAUAGGGUGGCUAGUCGAAUUGUUUUAUAGAAAUGGAAAGCCAUAUCGUUGGCCGGUUGCUCAAUACUUAUCCAGUCGGCAGUGUUGGCACUGCCAUCAUAUAUUACUACAAAAAAAAUUUAUGGCAGCAGUUUAAAAUCACUGUCAUAGUUCAAAAAAUCACUAUCAUAAUUUAUGAUAGUGGUUGUCUAACUGCUCCCAUUGUAGCCAUCGCCGUAGCCUAUGGUAGCAGCUUUUUUGCCUAUAGCAACGGCCAUACCAACCGCUAUCAUAGAUAACCUAUGACAGUGGUUCUUUAAGCUACAACAGCUGUUUACAAACCGUUUCCGUAGCUUUUGACUAGUCAACAUGUAGAUACAGCAGCGGUUAUGUCAACCACUACUAUAGAUAAUCUAUGACAACGAUUUUUUUAAGCUAUGACAGCGAUUGUCAAACCACUGCCGUAGCCUUAUCUAUGGUAGUAAUUAUGUCAACCGCUGCCAUAGAGAUCUAUGGUAGCGGUUGGCAAACCGCUGCCAUAGUACUUUAUCGAUCAAAAUAGCUGGUUGGGGGUCGGAUGAUUGCCGACAAUUGUCGGCUGCCUGUCGACGGUUGACAACUGUUGUCAGCCGUCAGCCGACGAAAGGGGGUAGCGACGGUAGGCGACGGUGGCUGGUGGGGCCCAUGGUGAGGAUUGGCGGUGAUAAGUGGGGUGGCGACAACAGCAGCAGGCGAUAGGCGAUGGCGACAGUGGCGGCAAGGCGGUAACAAUAGGCGGGACCCAUGGUGGUGGGGCCCAUAGUGAAAUGCUCAACCCAAUGCUAUUGAUGGUUGACAACUUAAGUCUUUAUAUACCAUUCAUUCAUUAUUUUCACAGUUGUGGGACUAUCAAAAUCAACCAUUGUUAGCUCUACGACAGCAGUUGCCAUUGACCGCUAACGUAGGUUGGACCUACAGCAGCGAUUGAUGGGCAACCACUGCUGUAGGUCAACCUACGGGUGGUUGCCCUUGACCGCUAUAGUAAGUCCAACCUAUGACGGUGGUUGUCCUUGACCGUUGCUAUAGGUCCAAUCUACGACAGCAAUUAUGGACCUACGACAGCGAUUGGUUAUAAUUGCUGCCGUUGGUAGAAUAUAAUUUUUUUUCAGAAUAUGAUAUAAUUUUAGAAUUUAAAGUCUAUCUUCGUUGUUCAUUAUCUAAAUAAUUAUCAUUAGAGUAUCGUCAUAAAAGGCCAUCUCAAUCCAAUAGCCCUAGGUAUGUCAAUCAAUAAAAUUCGAUUUCGACGGUUACAAACGACUGCAUGAUGAUCUUAUAGAUAGAGACCAUCGAUGGAUCCAAAAAUUUUCAAUGAUGAUUUCGAUGAUAUUUGUAGCGUACUAUCAAAAUUUCACUUUAAUCGGACAUCAUUAUCAUGAUCAAUUUAGUACGAAAUGAUUUAGACCAUUAAAUGAAAAAUGAGUGAUCAAAAAGCCAAAUAGCGUCCGAUUAGAAGGUGCCUGUUUAGAUAAAUGAUUUUUACUACUAUUUUGAUCAUUUGUACGGUGAUGAUCGUAAAAAUGAUUAACGCAUGUACAUGAACUAUCCAAAACUAUAUCUCUUGAUUUUCUUAAAGUCCUUAAGUAAUUAUACUUAUGCUUUUAUAAGAUCUGCUUAAUAUAGAUAGUUCAUAUAUAUACAGUUUAAAUUUUAUGAUCAUCACCGUACAAAUGAUUAAACUAGUAGCUAAGAUUAUUUAUCUAAAAAAUUAUCUUAAUCGGACGCCGUUUGGCCUUUUGAUCACUCAUUUUUCAGUUAACGGUCGAAAUCAUUCCAUGCUAAACUGAUCAUACUAAUGGUGUCCGAUUGAAAUAAAAUUUGGAUAGUGUACUAAAAAUAUUAUCGAGAUCAUCGUUGAAAGUUUUCGCAUCCAUCGGUGGUUUCUAUCUAUCCGAUCAUCAUGCGAUCGUUCGUGAUUGUUAAAAUUGAAUUUUAAUGAUCGAUAUAGCUAGGGCUAUCGGAUCGAGAUGGUCAUUUGUGACGAUACUCUAAUAAUAAUUAUUUAAAUAAUGAACGGUAAAGAUAAAUUUUAAAUUCUAAAAUUAUAUCAUAUUUAGAAAAAAAUUAUAUUCUAUCAACGGAAGCAGUUAUUGUGAAUCGCUGCCGUAGGUUAAUUUUAAAAAAAAAUUAUAUUCUAUCAACGGAAGCAGUUAUUGUGAACUGCUGCCGUAGAUUUAACCUAUGGCAGUGGUUAUUAACAACCGCUGCCGUAGGUUGGACCUAUAGUAGCGGUCAAAGGCAACCGCUAACUGCUGCAGUUCGUAAUAACCGCUGCCAUUGACUCUAUAGCAGCGGUUUUCAAAAUCGCUAUCAUAGUAACCGCUGCUAUAGAUCCUUAUUGUAGUAGUGAUAUACUAUUACUUAUAUUCAUGUUUCAUUAUUGGUGUUGCAUAAGAUUGAAAAAGAAAUUCGAGGGCCAUGUUACUGAUACUGGAGCUAUAUAUGCAUCUAGUUUGCUAGCAGCAAGAUUGCAUGCUAAAGAAUCAUGGGGGUUUGGGAUUUCAAUCAUUGCUGCUACAAAGGCAAGCUUCCAUGUGUAGAUUAGCGGCACAACUUAUCUUGCAACUACAAUCACUGUGAGCUCGAUUAGUCAUUGCUAAAUAUCGAUUUUGAGGUUCAUGGAUUGCAUAUAGUAAGCCCGGAGCUUGUUCUGUGAUCUGAAGGAAAUUUUGUUCUGCAAGUUCCUUAGUGCAAUAUCAUUUUCAAUGGCUAAUUGGUACAGGGUAAUCUAUCAACGUUUUUGCUGAUCCAUGUAUUUCCAAUAUUCCUCUUAAUGCUUCCCCUACAUUCAUAAAUAUGGACCAUAUCACUACUACGCUUCAGGUAGCCGAUCUGCUUACUUCUAGUAGAUCCUGGAACCUAGCUCAGUUGAAUCAUUAUUUUGCUACUGAUAUGAUGACCCAAAUUCGAUCGAUUGCUUUAAUUCACGGAAAUUGGGCUGAUCAACUAAUUUGGCACCCUACUCAUCUAGAUCAUGUACAUCUUCGGGAUAUGAUUGCAGUGUUGCCUCAUACCUUACCUUCAUUGACAACAAAUUUCAAUUGUCUAUCGAGGUUACAUAUGCCUCCUAGGCUGAAGUUUUCUUGUUGGAAACUGAUGUGGCAGAGACCUCCUUGCAAAGCAUAUCUUGUUACAAAAGAAAUUCUAUCAUCUCAGCAUUGUGAUCCCUGACCAGAUUGAAGACUGUUCUCAUGUAUUGUUUACUUGUUCUUAUGUUAAAGAGUGUUGGAUGCAUUUUCAUCGUAUUUGCCCAAGAAUUCCUUUGUUCACUAAUUUGCCAGCUAUGCUUGACCAUAUGUAGCAAGCUUUGGUAGAUGAAUGGCAGAGGGUUCUUGUAGUCUAUUUGUGGUGGAGCUUGUGGACAGAUAGAAAUGGAAGGUUUUAAUCACACCUCACAUCUGCCGGUUCAUCUGAUUCGUAUGACUAUAGUAUUAGUAACGAAGCUUUUUCCCCAUGCUGUACAAUUCUGCACUUAAUUUACCAGUGGUCAGCCUGCUAUCUCCACAGUCCAUUCAGGUACUGGGUUAACUAUCUGCAGCAAGCUCAGCUGCUAAAAGUACCAAAACUUGUGUCGUGGUUAUCCCCUCCCUCAGGAGUGUUAAAACUGAAUUUUGAUGCUUCUGUAUCUCAAAGGAAAGCUGCAAUUGGAUUUGUUAUUAGAGAUUCUAAUGCAUACUGUUUGCAAGCUAUUAGUAAGCAAAUUUUGCUCUCCUUUGUACCAUAUGCAGAACUAUCAGCUGCUUCGUGAGCAAUGAAGACUGCUGUUUGUGAAUUGAAGGUAACUCAAUUAUGGCUUGAAGGAGACUCUACAACCGUGGUUUCAUGGAUUGCAAACAAUUCAUUUCUUACUUCAUCUAAGAUUCUACUUAUAAGAGAUAUUCAUGAAUGGAAAACCAGAUUAAUUCAUUUUCAAAUAUCUCGUGUGUCAGGAAGCUAAUCAAUCGGCUGACUAUUUGGCCACAAAAGCUCUACAUCAUGAUAUUGAUUGGUCUAAUACUGAUUUCUUUGAUUCCCACUUUUCUUAUUUAUUACAGGCUGAUGGAAGGCAUACGCUGUAUCCAAGAGCAGGUUAAUACCUUUAGAAAUAUAGUCUUGGAUUACUGCACUGGUGUUUUUAGCUUUGUAUCUUACAAGAAAUUUCAUUGCCUUAUUUCCAUGAACACUAUGUUCGCAUUGGACAUCAAAGUUCAAUCACUACAAUUCUGUGUGGUGUUCCAGACUUGGCUAUCAGUUGCAAUUUUGUAGUCUAUGGCAUCCCUCCUCUUCCAAGGAGCAUUGUUAUUUCAACUGGAUUACGGCCGGAUGGAUGUUGUCGACCUUUUUAGUCAGUGGCCUUGGCCUUCAUUACUUAUAUGUGUAUACUGUUUGUACUUACCUUCCAUGCUUCUGUUCCCUACUGCCUUGUUUUCCUAUGUUGUAAUCACACUGACAUGUCACUUAUAAAGCAUUUGCUCCUCUAAUUUACCAAAAACAAAAAAAGCCCAGCCUCCAUAAGCUUAAGACCCUGGAAAGGGGGAUCCAAUGGCCCCCUUUCUUAUCGUCUGUGACCAAGGCCCAGUCGGCCACUUGGUGAGCCUGCCAAAUGGUUGCAACGUAGACAGCCAAUGGGCCAGAGCCCAGUUGGUAUUGCUACUUGUUUGCGUUUCAUCUCUAUGCAGUACUUGCUAAUUAAGCGCGAACCAUUUCGGCUUCGCAGCGAAGGGACCCCCAAGUUCUAUAUGUAUGUCUCUUCUUAAUGCAAAACCAACCAACUUUGCCUCCAUAGAUGAAGUAUUAAGGGUUUUUUAAUUGAAAUCACAAUGUCUGAAACACGCUCCAUGCUCCUUUUUUGGAUAUAGAAUAGGCUUUGGGAUGGCAUCACGUUAUUAUCACAUCAUGUCGGUUGUUAACUCGCACAAAUCAUCAAAUUUGAUAUGAAGUUUAACUUUUGAAGCGCCUCUUUAAGCAGCCUCUCCUAUGAUUCCCUUCUACCAUGGUUUAGGCAUACAACAAUGGGAUAAUUGGUCAAAUUUCUUGGUCAUUAACCAUAGAAAUUGUCCAACAUAUAUACAACCGUAUAAACUUAAGAGCAUUCCAUGUAGCUGUUGCACUUGUUGGUUUUGUAUGAAAUAUAUUUGGAAAACGCAGGUUAUGCAUCGAUGCAUGACUUCUCAUGGCAAAUCUAAUGGUCAUCACUGUACUCAAAUCUAACGCAACAUAAAGCUUCUUAAUGUCACGCUCUGAACCCAACACUCAGAUCGGACAUGUGAUAGCCACACACUCUCUAAGGCAAGUCCUAAAGAAUAUGCAAGGUCUGAAAAAUUUAUUACAACCUCAACGUUCAUAAUGAUCAAAUUUUAUAACAAUUGAUAAAACUUGUAUAAUUACAAAUUCAAUUUCUUCAAUCAUCUAAUCAAGUAUCAUUGAUGCUCUAUCUAUUCAUCCGCUCAUCUGCGAAUCCAGACCAUAAUCAAUUAUAAGCAUUCUACAUCUCUUAGAAGAGAGAAAUAGAGAGGGUGAGUUUUACAGCCCAAUAAAAAUUUUCACAUACCAACACUAAUAUAAUAAUAAUAAAUGAGAAAAUAAUAAUGAUUAUUACUCAUAUCAAUAUCAUGUCAAAAGAUAACAUGAUUCAUAAAAUAUGCACUUUAGUAAAUAUCUUUUUAUAUAAUAAGUCAUAUCAUAUAAUUAUUUCAAAUCAAUAUGCAUCGGAUUCGAUCAUGCCAAAGUGCUCAGCUGUGGACUACUACAGUCACAAUUCUAGCCCGUGGUAGGACAUCAAUAUCAUGGCUAGUCCUGUAGACUACCACAAUCACGUUUACAGCCCGUAGCGGGACAUUAAUACCAUGGCUAACUCAGAGGACUACAAAUGCUCAAACCUCAACUACUACAACCAUAUUUACAGCCCAUGGCAAGACACCAAUAGUGGCUAGUCUAGAGGACUAGAGGUGCUCAACUUCGAACUACUACAACCAUAUUUUUAGCCCAUGACAAGGCAUCAACCGUGGCUAGUCCGGUAAACUACUACAACCAUAUUUAUAGCUUGUGGUAGAGCAUCAACAACGUGGGUAGCUCAGAACACCCCAACCCCAUAUAUAGUCAUACAAUUCAAUUUUAAGCUUGUUAAGUAUUGUAAUUCAAGAUCACAUUUUUUUACAAAAAUUGAUGUAUAUGAUUACCAAAACCCAUCCAAAUCAAUAUCAAUGAUAUGUAAUAAAUAACAUCGCACAAGUCACAAAUAUAUACUUAACAACUAAAUAUAUAACAUAUCACGAUCAAAAUUCAUGAAUCGAAACCACUUAUAUACAAAAUAGAUUUUAUAUAAAUAGGCGAAUAAUGUCCAAGAAUUCUUACUUCUAUUCAUGAUUGAUUCAAACAUAAUAAUCGAUGAAUUUUUUGAUUUAUAAAUUCGAAAUCAAGAUAUUCUGCUCGAUAUCUUCUUGUAUGAUUAGUUGCAUCUUUAUAUAAUCAUAAAGAAAUCUAAAAACCAUGCGCGAUCAAAGACAGUAAAAUUAUGAAAAUAUCCGUAACAUAAGUUUAGGAUCUCUCCUAGAACCAACCAAGAUCUAAAUUUUUCUAAGUGUCUGGAUCCUCCACUGAUCUAAAAGAUUUUAGAGAAAUCAUGAAGAAAGAUGAAAUCUAGAGAGAGAAAUUAGAAAGAGAAAAUAAGGAGAAAACCUGAUAGAGAGAGAAAGUGGAGAGAGAGAAGAGAGAGAAACUCUCUCUCUCUCUUUUCCUUUCUUUUCUUUUCUUUUCUUUCUUCUUCUUCUUCUUCUUCUUCUUCUUUCUUUUUUUGGGUUUUCUUCUUCUCUUCUUCGUCGUUGAAACGGGGGAAGGGAAAAAAAUAUGAGGCCGGCCACCUUCAUGGCCGGGACCGUUGUCGAGAGUGACCCCCAGUAGCUCCGACGAGGUGCCUCCGACCCUCGGUGAUCCGAGCAAGGCUAUCUUCGACGACGGCGGUCGGUCCGGCGGAAGAAAAAUCAAAAGGAAAACAGGAGAGAUCUGGUCCCCCAAGAAUCCGACGACCGACGGCUCAAUCCGACCAUCAAAAGCCUCGUGGUGGUUUGGAGAAGAGAGGAGGAAGAAAAGGGUAGAUUAUUAGCUUAAAUCCGGUGAUGGAUUGACUGUGGCUUGCCGAAAAUACUCGACAGUUCUUUCCCUCUAAACCUUGAUUUCGUCAGCGAUUUGAUUGGAAAGUUGGGCGAUGCAUUAUGGAGGAUGGGGGGAAGGAUUUAUAGAUCCGGAUCCUAGGGCUUGCCGGAGUUUGAACAGGCCUAGGACUCUGUAUCGAUCAGACUUUGAAGAGGAGAAGGCCUCCUUCGGGAGUCCUCUUCCGUUCUAUCUUUUUUUUUUUUCCUUUUUUCCUGCUUUAAGACUAGUGCAGAAGAAGAAAAAUCUGGGUCAUUACACUUAAUUAAUGACAGUUUUUUCAAAUUUUCACAAUGCAAUGCAUAUGUGGACAUUAUACUAUUAUAAUUCUUCACUAAGAAUUUCUGUAGUACAGUAGUCAAAUCCAAACCCAUGUUAUUUAUUUCUGCGGGGCAACAUCAUCCCUGAUAGCAACUAACCGGACUCGCAUGUUGCAAUUAUGGUUCCCCGGCCAACAAUGGCUACGUGCCUUAUUGAAUAAUACACCAACUUGUUUUCUAAUUAUUCCUCCACCAACUGCUUGAAGUUAAUAGGAGUGACAAACGGCGGUGAUCCACUGUAGAUGUCCAGGACUGCCUCCUCGUAUGCCCUCUGGGUAGGAUGUAUAUCGUCCCACAACAGGUAUUCAUUGCGGUUCUCACAGUAAGUAGCGGUCCGAGUGCAACCGGCCAAACUUUCACCUCCACAGCAUGCACUUUGGACAUCUUUAAACCCUGGCGACGUGUCAUUAAAACUUUUAAGUUACUUGAUCACUCUAAUUUUUUUGUCCAAGAUGCAGGAACUAAUUAAUAUUAGUUACAUGACCCCUUACCAAGAGUAGUUAUUGAGCUUACCAGCUGCUUCUGGAUUAGCUAUCAUAUUUGACAGCGCUGCAUAAUAGCUGCCAAGCGAGUACUUCAUCCCCUUCAAUGUGGAGCUAAGAUUGCUUAACAUCUUUUUGACAUCAUCAUUAACACCAACGGCCAAAUCAUUCAUGACGUUGAAGCAAGCUCCGGAAUGGUUAAAUAAUCUUCUUGCGAAUGGGCAGCAACCGACGGGUCCAACGUCGAUAAUCCCAAACUUCCUUGCUCCCAAGUUGUACAACGCCUGUCAUUACAAAGUGUAACUAGCUCUUUUCAGGAAAUUCAGAAAUGUAAUGCUACUUGAGAAGAAAAGAGAGAGGAAGUUCACCUCGAUAUGGUUUUUGUAGUUGGAGAUGAGAGUGUUGCAGAAUCGUUCAAUUUGUGUGUUGCUUGGUGCCGUGUUGUUUAGAACAAAGGCAAUGACGUCGUUGGCCCCGGCGCUGAUGAGAAAGAUAGAUUUCGAGAGUACAAUGUUUGAUUUGUUAGUUGUGGCAAAAUAUUUGAUCUGUUUCGUCAUAGUGAUGGUUUUGUUUCCCUGCUAUAUAGAUAAAUGAAUAAUAUUUUGAUUAGGUGUUGUUUAGUUGUCUAGGAGUUCUAAAGCGGUUAAAGUAGGAAAAGAAAAUAUGUAAGCACUGCAGAAAGCGUAGUGGUGCUCACAGUGGAGUCAAGAAUUCCAGAUCCUCCAGAAGCGUAGUUUACUCCUACUCGAUUGCUGGUGUUCUUUGGGAGGGAAAGAUAUGGUGGCGGACUCAUUCGGAGGCCCAUCUGACGGGCUGCGCACAUCAUCAGAGAUCAGUAGCUAAAAAUGGACAAGUGGGAGGAAUAAUAGCGUAAGAAUUUAUGAUCCAUGUCUUUCUUUACUAUUGUGAUUUUCAAUCAAUAUUUCUAUAUAUAUAACUCAACCAAGCCUGAGUAGCCUAAAUAUAAAAUGUUAGCAAAUAAUGGUUAUAAUUUAGUAAAAGGUGUAUUAUAUUAUGAUAAGAUAAAUGAUUAAUAUUAAGCUAGCUCUCCUAAUGUCCAUUGCUAAAGAUUUGCAAUUAAUGCGGCAACAUUACCUUAUUUUUGAGUAAGUAUAGUAAGAAUGUAUAUAAAAAUAUACAUUAUACACAGAAUUAUGUGAGUUUAUGUAUAAAGCUAUUUUGACUGGUCUCACCUUGUAAAGAAGAUCCUCUUUAUAAUAAAAUAAUUGGUGAAAUGCUCUGUCCUUCAAAACAAAUUGAAAAUGCAAAUUCAUUGUUCGUCGUUACAAGAAAUAAGAGCUUUAGCAAUAAUCAAAAUCACUGAUAAAAAUAAAAAAAAUCAUUUGAAAAAAAAUUAUCAGUGAUUUUUUUUGAUCGCUGCUAUGCCGUUGGAGAAACUGCCAUCACUGUUGUAUUUCAAAUUUUUUCCAACGGUCAUGACCACCGAGAAAUAUAAAGCUUUUCUCUAUGGUCAUGACCACUGAAAAAAGUUGAACUUUUGUCAGCAGUUUCAGAGUUGACCGAUGAAAAAAUAAAAUAUAUCCCCACGGUCAAAACCACUGGACAAAGAUUUAGAAAUUUUUUUCAGCAGUCAGUCAUUUAUGAUCGCUGGCAAUAACCUUUUAACAACAAAUAUGACCACUGGCAGUACAUUAUAUAUUAUUUUUUUAAAAAAAGAUAAUCUGAUAACUUGAAUAUGGGCAUACAUAGUAUUCCCCUUUUCAAUUGCAUCUUAAAGCCAUCUGAUAUAUUAAAAAUAAAUAAUUAAUCAAAAUUUUGAAUUCAACUUUCAUCAAUGAUUAGAUUCAAUUACACUACAUAAAGUAAAUAAAGUUUAUAAUAAAAAGAGCUUUUCAUGUAACAAAACUAACAAUAAUGAAAGUGCAAAUUUUUUUGAAUAAAGUUGUAGAUAUAUCAUUUAAGAUUUUGAUAAAAAAACUUAUUAUUUCAAGUAGACAAAAUAAAAAAAGAACUAUGCACAUCAUGAUUAGGAGCUUUGCACCAUUUUAGGGCAAGUUUAAUUUGCAAAAAAAAUAUAUAUAUAUAAUUAACCCAUAAAUAAAUAAUAUAUAAGAGUAGUAAAAAUUAAUAAAAAAGAUAGGUAAGAAAUUGUAAUACAUACUAUUGUCUCAAAUCUCCUACGAGUUGGUCGGCUGUGAGUCAAAAUGUAGCACUUGAGUGCUUGAUGGCAGAGAACCAACAAGAUAAAGUCCACUUGCCAGAAGUUGUCUGGCUAAGGACCUUCCGAUGUUUAAGUUAGUCAGAGAAAGGGAAUAGUUAAAAGCCUCAAAAAAAUAAGAGCUAAAAAUUUGUAAUCAGAAAACUUACCUAGUCUCUUUGUUUACCAUUUUAUAUAGGAUGAAGAGUGCCGUUACUGUUUAACUCCCAUCUCUAAAAUUCAGGAUAUGGGGAUCAUGGCCUUCACUAGGUGAUUAUCUCAUUAACUAUCAUUAAAAUCGAGCAACAGACCAUUUGUGGGUGAUUAUUGCAUUCCAUAACCGUCAAUAGUUAAUACCUGUGCCGAAUAACUAUCGCUCGAUCUCAAACUUUCUGAGAUCAAGGUAGUAGGCAAAACACCGAGGAUGUCGUCAGUCCAACAUCGAUGGUAAUUGAACUUAGUCGGUCAAGUACCGACUUAGUCUUAUUCCGUUGGACUAAGUCAGCUAAAUUCAUAAGGUCGCAUACUUAGUCAGUGGAGAGACGUGGAUAAAUGUUCGUCAAGUAAGCAACGAAGAUCUAUCCCAACACUUAUCCCCCAACACCCGAGUUCGAUGCUGUAAAAUGAUCGGACGAGAGAAGUUAAUCAAUGCAUGGUUCUGAGUUGCUUUCUUUUAUGAAUUUUAUUAUCAUCUCGAAAAUUGGUGCCUAACUAUUCUACCAUUUUAUGAAGCAAGCAACCAUUUUGUUGUUUCGUAAGCAUGUGCCAGCCCUGUCGCCUCGCAGGACGUGCAACAGUUAAUGCUAUGAAUCAUCUGAAGCAGACUUUCAUAAUGAUUAUGGAAGAUCAGACAACAGAAUAAUGAUUCUUGAGUAGCCCAAGUCAACCACAUGUCAUUCAAUUAUUUGUUUGGUUUGUUUUCAUGUGGAUUUGGCUUAUUUGGCAAAAUCACAAUGGUGAUGUGUCGAAGAGACGAGAAAAUAAUCGAUCGAGGUUGUGGCCAUGUGUCGGAAUCUCCUAUGAUGGCAGGAUUUUUUGUGUUGAUCGCGGCCGUCAAGUGUGCCUAUAAAUAGGAGCCUUCUUCCCUUUAGGUCUUCUUCUGAUUUCAGGGUUUUCACCUCUAGUCCAGCUUUCUUAGCCUUAGUUGCGUGUAGAAUUCAUCUCCCUAGGGGCAUCUAAGCUUCAUCAUCAUUAGCUUCUUCAUCUUCGUCAAGUUCUCCAUCAUUGUCAGUUGAUUCUUGAGGUCAAACUUUUCUUUCCUUCCCAUCCUUUUCAAUUUCUGAGGAUUUUUCUUAGGAAUGGCUUCAUUUGGGAGAGAAUUCGGAGAUGAGAAUGUCGUGGGAGACUAGGGUUCUCAAACUCCGACUGUCCAGAGGGAGACCAAGGAUGUUCCUCAGGAUGCUUUCGAGGACGUUGCUUCCUCUCGAUAGGACCAUCCAGGUCCUUAGGAGUUGGAUGAUUAGCCAGCUGUCGAGAAUCUUUCUGAACCUCUUCAUGAGAGAUUCGAGUUAUCUGAGAUUGAUGUACAGUGGCUAAGGGAUCAUUAUCAUAUCCCUAAUCAGUAUCAGUUGUUAGCGCCCAACAAAGAUGGUUGGGUUGUCCGCCCUUUGGAUGGCUACAUUGCCAUCUACGAGGAGUUUCUUCACUCUGGACUUCGAAUUCCUAUACAUCCAUUUCUUGCUAAUGUCUUUGAUUUGUAUAAUGUCGUUCCUGCUCGACUUACCCCCAAUUCCAUUAAGAUUCUUUCGUUGUUUGUUAUUCUUUGCCACCUUCUCCAUUUUGAAUCGAGAAUUUUUUUUUUCGUACUCUUUUUGUCCUGAAGAAACAUCCUCAGAAAAGAAGAUGGUAGUUCUUUAGUCUCCAGUAUCGUUGUCAAUUCAUUACUGAGCUUCUUUCUUCCAUUCAUGGAUGGAAGAGUAUGUUCUUUUAUGUUAGCACCGACCAUCUAUGGGAUUUUAAUUGGGUCUGGACUACUCCUAAUCUUUCUUCAAAUAAGAAUAAAGUAGUCCUUGAAGAAGAUCGAGAGCAUUACGACUUACUGUUCGGUGUCCAAGUUUCCAUCCAAUGGGUGCUCCUCGAGGAGCAGUCAUUGUAUGAUGUCAGGAUAAGUCUAGUCAACCAUUUAAGUAGAUUUCAUUUUAUGAAUUCUCUGAGUUUUUUUGUCAAUUUUUUUCUUAUUCAUGGACUAAUUUUCUUCAUUGACUUGUAGGCUUAAGGAUUUCAGCAAAGUCCAUCUGCCGUGCCAUCAAAAAGAGGCAAGGUUUAGGGCUUGACGGACCUUCUCGGGGUCUAUCGAAGAAGCCCCAAGAAGGAUCCUCCUCCUAGAUCCCAAGGAAUACACAACCACCAUCGCCGCCCCAAAUUCCUCCAUCAGAAUGGUCUUCACCUCCACUACCAGCACCAGUCAUAUCCGCCAAACAAGAUGAUGAUGUUGUCAUCGUCGGUGAGGCCCCGAUGAGACUCAUUAGUGCGGUCCGGUGCAGGGUGAGUUCGAUGCUGACUGAACUACGGUGCAUGGAGACGUUAGUCAGGGGAAGGCUCCAAUGCAUCCCACAUGCACCACCGAGCUUGGCCCUUUAGAUUCUUCUAAAGAGCAUACAUCACCCUCAGAAAUACGCAUUAAAGUGACUGACAUAGGAGAUCAUCGACUCACCGAAGAGUUGAUGAAAAUGGAGAUGCUUCCUGCUGACUGGGAAGAAAGAAAGGCCCAUCCAGUCGAAGAGAUCAUAUUAAGCUCCAAUGCGCCAUUGAUGUCGGUGAGUUUACUAUCUUUCUAAUAUUUGAUUAUCAUUCCUUCCACCAAAUUGUAGACUUAGUAAAAUUCUUCUUCUUUUUUUUUGUUAUAGCUGGCACAUUAUGCAACAAUUUUGAAUGAAGGGUUUACCGCCUUUGGGUGGCUCAACUGCCAGCUAGAAGAUAAGGCCCAGACUGCCAAUGCUUGGGCAAAUGUUGCUAAGAAACUUCUCCACGUUGUCGAGGAGCUAGAGAAGAAACAUCAGGAUUGCUCUAUUGGAGACCAAGUUGGCUCCUUCUAGGACAAAGCUGCCAAGAAACAUCAGGAUUGCUCUAUUGGAGACCAAGUUGGCUCCUUCUAGGACAAAGCUGCCAACCUGGAAUUGCAGCUGAGGAAAAUAAAAAAAAAAGUUGAACUUGCUGAGAGCCGACUUCAAGGAGGAGAUGGAGUCGGUGAAGUCUAUCCUUGAUGAGCAAAAGGGCAAAAGACAAGAUGCUAAGAAGGCUGCUCAGAUCCAAAAUUCUAUAGUCUUCUUAGCCGAAUCUCUAGAUUCGAUAUCCGAUAUUCUCCAGAUGUUGAAGGCUCUGAUAAUAUAUUUUAUUUAACCUCAAUUUCAAAAAAAAUAAAAUAAAUAGAAAGGAUCUAUCAAUCUGGUCUAGCCUAGAUCUAGAUUUAGGUUAAUUUCCAACUCAUAUUGAUACAAUUCGAGUUGACCCAGACUCAAUAAGAUUGAGUCCAAUUAAUAGAUUAGGUUCAAUUUUCGAGUCCAAUCUACCAACUUGAUUUGACCUAGGCUCAAUUGAAUUGGGUCCAAUCAGAUAGACCGAGUUCACUUAGAUUAAACCCAUCUCUCUCUUCCUCUCUCUCUCUCUCUCUUUCUCUUUCUCUUUUAACCGAUCACAAGGCCCCCCCCUUUGGGGUUUUGUGAGGUCGAUCGGUAGAGGAGGUUUUGAUGAUAAAGCAGUCAGACCGACUGAGGGUGGCAGUGCGACGAUGGCCAGAGGUGGCGGUUAGUUGAUGAUGAUCGGGGACUCCACUAAAAAGCAGAGAGGGCACUGCCCUAGGAUCAGAAGGGAAAGGGAAGAAAAAGAAGGGAAGAAAACUUAUCAGAGAUGGAGGCAGCGGUGAUGAUAGCAGCACACGAGGUGAAGUUCGAUGGUUCUCCUGCCCGACAUCCCUCGACACAGGUGAAAUAGGAUUUUGGAUAGAAAGGUUAGGAUUUUAAAAAGGUGACAGUGCUUGACACAAUAAUACGAUGGCUGCCGAAGAUGGAGAAGGAUGAUGGAGAUUUUGGUGAGGGUUCUAUUAAGAAGUCACUACUACAAAAAUAGGCUAUAGCAGUACUAACUACGGCAGUGAUUUUCAAAACCACAGCUAUAGAUCCUAUGACAGUGAUUAUUUGUAACCGCUACCAUAAUUCAAGCCUACGACAGCAGUUAUCAAGAACUGUUGCCGUAGGCCUAACCUACAGCAUCGGUUAUCGAGAACUGUUGCUGUAGGUGCUGUCUACAGCAGUGCUUGGUUAACUGCUUCCAUAGGUCAGCCCUAUCGAAGCGGUUAUCGAGAAUCGCAGUCGUAUGUCCUGACCUAUGCCAGCAGUUCCUGAUAACUACUACCGUAGGUCUUCCCUAUGGCAUCGGUUCAUGUAACUGCUAUGGUAGGUCGACUACAGCAGCGGUUCUUAAAAAUCACUUCUGUAGGUCCUACAGCAGUGGUUAUCUAACCGUUACCGUUGGCCCAAUAUAAUUUUUUUUAAAUAUGAUAUAAUUUUAAAAUUUAAAAUCUAUCUUCACUAUUCAUUAUUUAAAUAAUUAUUAUUAGAGUAUCAUGACAAAAGUCCACCUAGAUCUAAUAGUCCUAGCUACGUCGAUCAAUAAAAUUUGAUUUCGACAGCUACGAACAAUUGCAUGAUGAUCUAAUAGAUACAGACCAUUGAUAGAUCCAAAAAUUUACAACAAUGAUCUCAUUGAUAUUUGUAGCAUAUUAUCCAAAUUUUACUUCAAUCAGACAUCAUUAUCAUGAUCAAUUUAGCACACGAUGAUUUUGACCAUUAAAUAAAAAAUGAGCGAUCAAAAGGCCAAAUUGUGUCUGAUUAAACAAAUUUUUGAGAUAAAUGAUUUUUGCCAUCAUUUUAAUCAUUUGAACUAUUUUAAUCAUUUGAAUGAUGGUGAUCAUAAAAUUUAAAUCACGUGUAUAAGAACCAUCGAAGAAUGGAUACUGAAGUUGUAGGAGAAGAAUGAGCUAGCUCGUAUUUAUUUCGAUCGAGAAAUGGAUACUGUAGUUGCAAGAGAAGAUGAGCUCAAAUGUGAAGGGUGAGAUUUAUUUGGUUAUCAACUAAUAAUUAAAGUGGCACCUUUUAAAUUUUGAUGGAUAUUUUGUGCAACUUCAGUAUCCAUUCCUCAAUCGAAAUAAAUACUUAAUUCCUCCUCUCACAAUUUUAGUAUCCAUUCUUCAAUGAUUCAUAUAUACAUGGUUUAGAUUUUAUGAUCACCAUCGUUCAAAUGAUUAAAGUGAUGACAAAGAUCAUUUAUCUCAAAAAUCAUCUUAAUCAGACAUAGUUUGUCCUUUCGAUUGCUCGUUUUUUAUUUAAUGAUCGAAAUCAUCGCGUGCUAUAUUGAUUAUGAUAAUGAUGUCUGAUUGAAGUAAAAUUUUGAUAGUGUGCUACAAAAGUCAUCGAGAUCAUGUGGGAUAGUUUUCAGAUCCAUCGGUGGUCUCUAUUUAUAAGAUCAUCAUGCAAUCAUUCGUGACCGUCGAAAUCGAAUUUUAUUAAUCGACAAAGCUAAGCCUAUCAGAACGAAGCAAUCUGUUAUCACGAUAUUCUAACAAUAAUUAUUUAAAUAAUAAAUAAUGAAGAUAAAUUUUAAAUUAUAUUAUAUUCAAAAAAAAUAUAAAAAAAAAUAAAUUCUAUCUCUAUAUAUGAAUAAAUAUGAAAAAAAAUGAAAUUAAGACCAAUGGCAGUAGUUCCUAAAAAAUUGCUACAACAUAUUUAUUACAGCGGUUUUAGAAACCAUUGCAAUAUACCAAAUACCUAUGGCAAAGGCUAUAGCAGUGGCUUUUAAACCACUGCCAUAGGUCCUAUUAAUUUUCCCAGGCACGCCCUGCCUUCUCAUUUCGCGUGCCUGCUUCCCUCCCUCCCUCCCUCUCUCUCGAUCUCUCUCUCCCCGCCCUGCCCUGCCACCAGCCCCAACCCACUUAGCCCCGCUCGCCCCGACCCACUGACGGCCCCGACCCCCUUUGGCCCCUCCUCCGUUGGCCUCGACCCACCACCCCUCCUCCGUUGGCCACAGGUAUUCCUCUCUCUCUCUCCCCUCCGCCCCACCGUCGCUCCCGACCCCACCACUGGCCCCGACCUCGGCCUCUGCCCUAGCUCCGGUCCUGUUUGGCCCUGGCCCCCUGGCCUCGUUUGGCCCCGGAUCCGGCCGUUUGGCCCCCCGCCCCGGCCAUCGGCCCCAGCCCUAGCCCCGUUUGCCCCGGUCCCCCAGCCCCGUUUGGCCCUGACCCCUGCCCCUGUUGGCCCCAUCCUUGAUAUUUAUCUUCACUCCAAUCUCAUUUUGCUUGUGUUAACGCUCCAAUCUCAUUUUGCUUGUGUUAUUUUCUUCACUUUUCUUAGCAUGUUUUGUCAAUUGGUUAUGUUACUUGGUUAUGUUACUUGUGUGCUGUUCAUUACACCAUAAACCAGAUCAUAACUUUCAUUUGUCUUUCUUUCCAUACAAAAUAUUUUCUUUUGGUAGUGUACAAAGUCAUCAAGUAGAUCAUCAUACGCGAGUCAUGUAGUUCCUAGAUAAGCCAACUAUUCCAGAAUCUCCUUUUCAUUGGUAGAAAAUGAAUUCUAGAAAUGGGAUUGUAGGUUCUAGGUACAGAUUUUGUUUUCUUCCAGGCUCACAAUUUUUUUUUUUCGUGCACUCAAAGGCUACACGUCCACUGUGGUAGAUUUUUCGUGCCUGCAUUUGUCACUUAUGAAAAAUCCACCGUGUGCGUGUAUGCACAUAUAUGUGUACAUAUACGUGCAUCUGUUAAUUUUUUUUUAAUAAAGAGAUGGUAACGAUUUCAUAUAAAAAAUAGUUACUUCUUAGUAUGAUUUUAGUAAUAUUUUUUUAUUAUUUUUUUUCCCUUCUAUAAAUAUUUUAACAAUUCUGAAUGAUAAGACGAUCUUAGAUGGCCUGCAGCUAUUUGGCGGAUAACCAUUCGCAGUCGAUUUGAUUUAAUUGUAGCAGAUACUGAAAGUAAUGUUGUAAUGCAUGAUUAAAUGGUGAAUUUGAGUCUUCUUUUUACUUUUAUUUUCUUCACUUUUCUAAUUUCUUGUUCUUGUGCAUUGCAUAGAACCGUAGAUAUUAAUUUUUUAAAAAUCAUUGCAUUGCAUGUUGAUAGACCCAUCAAUUGACUAAUGUAUAUAAUUCUAUGACACCCGUAUAUUCAUAUAUUUUGAUACGGAUAGGAUAUUUUGGAUGGUUUGAAUAUUUAUAUAAAUAUAUGAAUACCGUAGAAUAUAUACAUUGAUCAAUUGAUUGUCUAAUUUGGAUAGUUUAGGAAUUAUAAAUAAUUCUAUAGAUAAUUACAGUAAUCAAACAAUAUGUUCAAGGUGCGAGAUAAAUUUCAGACAUCAUUUUUCUUUAGUUCUCCUCACACAUCUUCAGCCAUGUGGGAAAAACUAAAGAAAAAUACUAUCAAAAUUUUUUUCGAUCUCUAUUGCAUAUCGUUUGAUUACUGUAAUCAAUCGGUAGAAUUAAUAUAAUUUGUGAAUAGGAUAGGACUUAUCUUUACCUAUUAGUUGAUGAUAGGAUACAUUUACUACAUAUAUGAAAAUGAUAUUUAAUGUAUUUUUGUUCGGGCUCUGUCGGUGGGUUCUGGGCCGUGUCAGCAAGUUCUGUUUGGGAAAAGUCGUGCCGAUGGGUUCUGGGCUGUACUAGUAGGUUUUGGGCCGUGCCAGUGGAUUCUAGACUGUGUUGAAACAUACUCCAUCUAUCUCCAGAUUCGGAUUGGUUGUGGUUUCACAGGCACAUACUCCUCCAACCGGCACAUCUGAGCCUCUAUCAGCAGCCACAUCGCUAGCCUAUGCAUCUCCAGCAUAGUCUCCACCCAUGGAUCUAGCUCAAAUACCGGCAUCCACGUCACAUGAUCCUGCUAGUGAGAGUAGGUUUUCAUUUAUUGUGUUAUUUAUUUAUUUAUUUAUUUUUUAUAUAAUUAUUGUACACUCUUAUAUAUUCGUAAUAUAUUUUCAUUGAAGGUGCACCAUCCAAUAGGAUAUUUCGUCGUCCCAUAUGCAUGCCUCAUGUAUGAAAUUGCCAGCAUCAGGUCAUGGUGUAGUACGAUCAGCAGGGGAGGCCAGUAGGGGAGGUCGCAUAGGAGAUGUAUUCUUUUUUCAGAGUGCUUGUGAGGCGGUCUGAUAUCAUUUUCGUUCGGCCCAUAGACUAGCGAGUGAUGGAUGUCGGUGUGAAGGACCGGGUGUGGGAGGAGAUUUAGGUAAGUAUAUGAUAUGUUUAUGCUAUAUUUUUUAUUAGAAUAAUUUCGUAACUGAUUUGUGAUAAUUUUGUAUAGAGGAGGUACGACUUCUCCAAUCAUGAGAGGGCUCGAGAUGUCUGCUUGCAGAAGAUUGGAGAGUUAUAUCGAAACUAUAAGGUCAAGCUCCACAGAGGAUGGCUAGAGCAUCAUAGGGACACUGAGAAGGAGCUUGUUUUUCAGAUCCAGGACUGUCCCCUGAGUCAGUGGGAGGGGAUGGUCAGGUAUUGGAGGAGCCAAGAGUUUCAGGUACAAUUUAAUAACUUAUGAAUUUUUUAUUACAAUGAUAGUUGUAUUUGAUUUUACCUUAUGUGUUUUAAUAUCUUUUUAGGAUGCAUCUCUUCAGAAUCGAGAGAGCCGGGCUGCUCAGCAAUACACGCAUACUCUCGACUGUGAGUCUAUGGCCAGUCGUGUGCAUAGAAAGAUAAUAAAUUUUGACCCUUUAGUUUAUAAGUUAUUGAAUUAUUAUUUUUUUACAUGUUUCUUAUAACAAGCUGACUGAUUGUUAUAGUUGAAGAGAGAGGAGGUGAUGCCUAUCUGUAGCACUAUCUUUCGAUCGAGCCGUACAAACAAGAAAGGCAGGCCGAUGAACGAUGCGAUCGAAAGGAUUUUUGUAAGUAAUAACUAGAGUAUGAUUAGUAUGAUUAAUAUUAUAGCAUUUCUUAUGAUAUUUUAUUUGAAUUUACAAUUACAGGAGUAGUUAGAUGAGCUUGCGACCCAGGGCCCGGACACCUCUGGCCUCCAUGACCAUCUAUCUCAGAUCUUGCGGCCUGAGCACUUCGGAAGGAUUCGUUGCCUUCCUAGACAUAUGCCGACGGGCUACUGGUCUGAGGCGAGUGUUUCCUCACAUGCUUCCGAGAUCAUCAGUUAGGAGUAGCUUGACACGGUCUUGGCGUGUGCAUCUUAUGUUGCUGAGCGCGCAUCUCAGAUUGAGGAGUGUGCAUCUCUGGUUGAUGAGCGCAUAUCUUAGCUACAAAGUGUCAUUUUCUGCUAUGGUGGCACAGCUCUCUUCUCAGCUUAGAGUUGAUCUUUCGAGCAUUCAGGAGAUGAUCACCACCAUUUCAGCUCCAACCCCUCCAGCUCCUACUCCAGCUCCUGCACUUGCUCCUCUAGCUCCUGCUCCAGCCUCUCCUAGUGAUGAUGAGAUAUUUGGAGAGGAAGAUUUUGAUUUAGGGGAUUUUUGAUGUAUUUUAUUUUUAUUUAAAAAAUAUUGUAAUACAAUUUGAUCAGUAAUACAAUUUGAGUAUUUGAGAUAUAUUAUUGAGUUUUAUGAAAUUUUUGAUUCUUAAUUAUAAUAUUGAACUGUGUCUAUCAAGUAAAAAGAAAUAAAAAAAAUAAAUUUAUUAUUUUUUUUACUGCCCAAAAUUCUAUGACAGUGGUUGCACAACCACUGCCAUAGCCGUGCCACCCACUACCGUAGGUCCGUGCCAAUCGCUGCCAAUGUCUAUAGCAAUAGUUAUAAGACUGCUGCCAUAGGUCUAUGAUAGCAGUUAUAGAACCACUGCCAUAGUUUCCAUAUAUGGCAGUGGUUUAUUAACAACUGCCAUAGAAUCUGAAGCAGCUGUCCUGUAACCGCUGCUAUAGAUGUCUAUAGUAGUGAUUUAUUAACCACUGCCAUAGAAGCUGUAGUACCAGUUCUGCAACCCUGUCAUAGAAGCUGUAGCAGCGGUUCUGCAACCACUACCAUAGAUAGGUCUAUAGUAAUGGUUUAUUAACUACUGCUACAGAGAGUCUAUCAUAGCGGUUUACGUAACCGCUGCUAUAGACCUACGGCGAUGGCCGCAGGGUCAGCGAUUGUGUAACCACUGCCAUAGUCUAUGGAAGUGGUUUUGUUGGCUGCGGUAGAGUUCAAUAGAGGAGGGGAUGGGGUGAGAUAGAUCCAAUCUUCAUCAGAUAAGCUAGGCCUCAUCGGCGUAUCUCAUCCCAAUUCCUCCCCCACCAGCCAUGGAUGGACUCGGAAUAGGGUUCCCCUAUUUUAGUCGAACAUGGCAUCAUCUCUCCUCCCCUUCCCCACUGACCAUGGAUGGACUCGGAAUAGGAUUCCCCUAUUCUAAUCGAAGACAGCAUCAUCUCUUUUAUUUUUUUUUGAUUCUGAUGAAGUCGGCAAAGGAUGCCAGCUUCGGGUUGAAUCGGGUCCAAGAGAUUGGUUCUCACAUUCUCCCCCCUAACAAAAAUUUCAUCUUCAAAAUUUGAAAAAUCUAGAUCUUCCAAAGCUAAAGAUGCUCAAUCACAAAAAUCUACAUAUACUAAUUUGUUCUGGCUUGACGUUGCUAAGUAUAUGCUCACAUUAUGAAAAUACUCAUAAGCAAUCUAACCCCUCGGGUCAACUACACUGUUCAUGCAUAUUUCUACACCCAAGCAUUGACUCUUUCCAAUAAUACUUCAUAAAUUGGCAUCUCUAUGUCAAUUCUAAAAUUUCACCCCUUUGAUAUGUAAAUAAGGAUCUCGUAUCUUCUCAAUCAAAUUCAAUAUGAUCAAAAACUUUCUAUCACAUUUAGAAUUUAAAUACAGACUAAUAAGAUCAACACCAAUUAAGUGACGAAGAUUCUGAAAUUGAGAUAUACGCAGUCAUUAAUUUAAGUUUGGGUUGGGAUCAAUUAGAUACAAAAAUCUUAUAGUCAGAUCGAUUUAUGAAAAUCAAUUAUACGUGGAAUAGAGCUUGAAAUGAAUUUAGCACAAAUACUAUGAUGAGGUUUUGAUUCUAUAUAUAAAAGUUAAUGGCACAUCUUGAUUAAAAUCAAAUCAUCAAAAGACUGUGAAAGUGGUAAUGAUUAUGUAGUAAUGGCCUUAGUCACAAUGGUUCAUCAUGAUUAUGGAAAUGAUCUCAGAAUUGAAUCAUAAAAAAUAAGUCUGAGAAGAUAAAGUAUUGAUAUCAUGAUUCUUACAUCAAAGUUGAGAUCAUAGAGAGAGAAUGAAUCGCACUAGAUUUAUUUAGAUACUUGAUAAAUAGAUCAAAUUUAAUUAACAAUCAACUAAUAUGAGAUAUAAGGUGGUCAAAAUUUUUUUUAACACAACCAAUAUAGUCACAUUAUGACUAGCCUAAGAAUCCAUAGCAAUCAUAUUUCUCUUUUAUGAAUAAAAACCUCUUCUAUUGAAAAAUCAUAGCUUCUAUCAAAACACAUUUAGUCAACAAUCAAUAUUUCAAUCAAUUUUAAAUGACUCAAACACCACACUUCCAUUGCACAACUCUAGUUAAUAUUCUUCAAAAUUUUUUAAUGAUCUGAGAUUAAAAUUAUAUAAAAUUCAAGCAAAGAUUUUAUUGUCAAGUAUAUUAGACCAUAAUUAUAUCUCAAGAUAGUUACUAUAUUAGUACCAUGGUUUGAUCAAGAUAUUAACUUCUAAAUCUUGAUUUAAGUCAAGCCAACUCUAGACUAUCUUGAUAAUUCAAUUAGACAAUUCAAAAUCAAUCUUUUUUUUUUUGAGAAAUCCAUCUCUAACUUACUCAUCAGGAUCUUAGAACUUGCUAGAGCAUCAUAAUUAGAGAGGUGAAUCAACUUUAGAAAAUCCACUCAAAACAUUAGAUAAAAAAAUUAUUUCUAAUAAAUAUUCAUCCUUUUACUUACAUUAACCUAAUUUUCUUCUAAUAUCCCACUAAUUCCAAAUUGCAUCCAUAAAAUCAAAAUUUCUAUCAUAUUUAUUAAUCAUAUCAAGAUAAAAUUCUCAAAGUAAACCCAAUGCAAAUAUAACAUAAUACAACUCAUUAAUUAAUCAAAAUAUAUAUAUCAUCUUAUAUCAGUUAUAUAACCUUGAUGAUUUUCUCAAACUUUAAUCUGUGUCAAUCUUCUAUGCUUCAAUCUGAAGGACCAUAAUUUUAUCCAUAAGGAGAACUUAGAUAUUGUGUAACAAUUCAAUUGGCUUUGAGCCUUAUAAUUAUUUUGAGAUAAUCAAUCAACAUUCUAAUUCUACCCCACUAUCACUAAUCUAAGUUCUUAUAAUCCUUAACCUAAGCUUUGAUACCACUCUGUCAUAGUUCGAAUCCAGUAUCCAAAUCAGGCAUGUGAUGCUACACACUCCUUAGGACAAAAUCUUAAAAAAUGAUAUGCAAGGCCUGUCUUCAUAUUCAAAAAUAUCACAUCAAAUCAUACUAGAUAGUGGUAAUAAAAAUGAAUCUCUAAUUUUAUUGAUUCAAAUAAAAUAUAUUUCAUCAAUAUCUCAUCAUAAUUUAGAUUAAUAUUUAUUUUAAAUAAACUAAAUAAAUAUUUUUUAAAAUCUUAUUAUCCUCAUUGCUCGAUCCCAAGCUCCAUAGAAUCUUCUCAAUUUUGAAAAAAAGAAAAGGGAAGAGAGCUUUAUAAGCUCAGUAAGUUAUCAAUAUCUCUGAGAGAUCAAGCAUAAUUAUUUUUUAAAAUAUAAUAAUUUAAUAGUAGUAUAUAAUAGUAUAAUUUUGUUUUGAAACAUGCCAAGCAUAUCAAUAAAAUAUUUGAAAACUCCACUCUCAGUUUUUAAUGACUAUGACCACGAUCAGUCCUGUGACAAGGUCUGAGAGAGACUAGCCCCUGAUAAUAAAUACAUGACACAUCACCAUGUAUCAGCGAUUAGCUCCGAUUGGUUAGAUCCAAAAUAAACUAACUGUGAUUCAUACAAUCAUGAUUAACCCUAUGACAAGGCAAAGAGAUAAGUUCUAAAAUAUAUACGCGACGCAUCUGCGUGUGUCAGUGAUCAGCCCCAACUGGCUAGAUCCGAAAAAACUAGUUCUGUCAGUGAUUAGCUCCAAUUGACUAGAUCAAAAAAAAUAUAUUUUCGAUAUAUGGCCAAUGCUUAGUUUCAUUGGCUAGAUCCAAAUCAUAGUCGACUAGAGAGUUUUUCUCAUAAUUUUUAUAGCAGUCAAUUUCUCAUACAUCGUCAUAUAGUUUUUCAUAAUAAUAUCAAACCAAGCUUUUCAUAUUUUAUUUUUAAAAAUAAGAGAAUAAUUUUAUUCAAGAAUUGUACAAAAAAUAUAGAUAUAAUUUAAAGAUCAUGCAAUUAUUAAAACCAAGAAAUCAUUUUCUUUCAAGUUAGAAAUCAUGCAGAGUUGAUGCCAUACUUAAUCCAAUAUUUUAAAUUAUUUUUCAUAAAUAAAUACAUAAUUUCAAACUUCAAUAUUUUUUAAAUAUUCUAUAUAUGGAAAUCUAAUUUUUUAAAUAUGUAAAUAUAUAAGAAAGUAAAUCCAAGGAUAAGAGAAAAUUUAUCGUUGAUCAGAUCUAAAAUUCUAUAAUCUUCUUAACCCGAUCUCUAGAUCCAAUAUCUGAGAUUCUCCCAAUGUUGAAGGCUCUGAUAACAAAUUUUAUUUAACCUCAAUUUUAAAAAAAAUAAAAUAAAUAGAAAGAGUCUUUCAAUCUGGUCUAGUCUAGAUCUAGAUUUAGGUUAAUUUCUAACUCAGAUCUAUACACUUCAGGUUGACCUAGACUCAAUUAGAUUGAGUCCAAUCAAUAAAUUAGGUUCAAUUUUCGAGCCCAAUCUACCAACUUGAUUUGACCUAGACUCAAUUGAAUUGGAUCCAAUCAGAUAGACCAAGUUCACCCAGAUUAAACCCAUCUCUCUCUUCCUCUCUCUCUCUCUCUCUUUCUCUUUUAACCGAUCAUGAGACCCCCCUUUUGGGGUUUCAUGAGGUCGAUCGGUGGAGGGGGUUUCAGUGAUGAAGCAGCCAAACCGACUGAGGGUGGUGGCAUGACUAUGGCCAGAGGUGGCAGUCGACUGACGAUGAUCGGGGACUCCACCAAAAAGUAGAGAAGGCACUGCCCUAGGGCCGGAAGAGAAAGGGAAGAAGAAAAAGAAGAACAGAAGAAAACUUAUCGGAGAUGAUGGCAACAACGAUGAUAGUAGCAUGCAAGGCAAAUUCUGGUGAUUCGCCUUCUCGAUUUCCUUCGGCACAAGUAAAAUAAGAUUUUGGGAGGAAUGGUUAAGGUUUUGGAAAGGCGGUGGCACUCGACACGGCAACACAGUGGCUGUCGAAGAUGGGAAAGAAGGAGGAUGGAGAUUUCGAUGAGGCUUCUACAGAGAGGUGCAGGGUUUAAAUAGAGGAGGGAUGGGGCGAGAUAGACCCAAUCUUCCUCGAAUAAGGUAGGGCCUCAUCAGCAUGUCUCAUCCCAAUUCCUACCCCAUCGGCCAUGGAUGGACUUGGAACAGGGUUCCCCUAUUCUAGUCGAACACGGCAUCAUCUCUCCUCCCCUUCCCAUGACUCUUUCAUUUGUUUUGUUUUAUUCUGGUGAAGCCGUUGAACCAAGUCCAAGGGAUCAGUUCUCAUAGAUUGAGUCUCUUCUAAUCAAUCAAUACAUUACUAAAUUAACGAAGAAAACAAUAAGAAAAUCUACAAUCCAAAGCUUGUUAUCCUAGUCUCUUAACAUCCAAACAAAAGAUUUUUAGUCGUUCAAUGGAUUAUUUUGCUCCAAUGCAGUAAAAAUUAUUGAAAAAUGCAAGCAAUCGAUACAUAAAAUCCAGCCACCAAAGCACAUUGAUCAACGCUUCCAUUUAUCCCUUCUUGGAAAAAGGAUGAAGUUAAAAGAGGCUACUGUUAGUAUCAUAUAACGUGGAGAAAUAAUAUGAAGAAAGCUUCAAUUUUUUUGGGCCGGUUUGCUAAAAAUAAGUCACAAAUGUAGUAAGAAAAGAGAAAUUCUUAUUGCACCGCAUGUAGUGCAGAAACUUCUGCGCCGCCCGCAGUGCACAAAGAAUUUCUCGUAAGAAAAAGAGAUUAGAUGAGUCAAAAAUACUUCAUGGAGGAGAAAUGGAGCAUGGAGAAAAAGACCCCGGAUAUGGCCUGUAAUAACCCACCAAAAAAAAACUUUAAAUCCCUUUUCAUGCGAAUCUCAAAGCAUAUAAAAAAAAAUUGAAACCUCACACACUGUGCGCGUGAGGCAGGGGACGGAAGACUCCCAUCGGGAGUCUUCCUCUUCUCCUUUUUCUAAUUAGGAGAAGGGAUCCUAGGGCAGCCAAACCCUAGGAUCCAUAGUUUAUAAAGGGAUCCCUCCCCUCCUAACCACCGUACCUUAGAAUCCCUUCCAUUGUUGGCGAGAUAUGCUUAGGUUUUUGCUUGAUCGAUUUUUCCAUGAAGGAUCUUAGGGAUUUCUCCAACAAAUCAGCAAUUCAAUCUCACCAGAGCCCAGGUAAGCCUAGAUCCUCCUCUUUCCUUUCUUCUAGUUGGGAAUUGGAUCAUCAUCACUAGAAAUUUGGCCGACAAUGUGCUGGAUUCGUGUGGAACAGGGCCGUCCCCUAUUUUUCUUCCUUUCUUCCUUCAAACCAGCCAUCAUUGCCAGAUUUUGGUGGCGCUCGAGGGGCCAAGGUCGGCAUCGUCAGGGUCUAUCAAUGUUAGGUGGGGAGUCAUUGCCAUCGAGGAUCAGGCCAUCGAUGGGUGGUCGGCCAAAGCCAUCACCUCUAUUUUUCAAAACAAAAAGAAGAAAAUGAAAAAAAGAGAAGAAGAAGAAAAAGAAAAAGAAAAGAAAAAAAAGAAAAUAGAGAGAGUUUCUCUCUCUUUCCUCUCUGCUAUCUCUAUUCUCUCUCUACUUUCUCUCUCUAAUAGUUUCUUUUCUUAUUUUCUCUCUCUAAUUUUUUUUUCUCCAAACUUCUCCUCUUUCUUCAUGAUUUUCUCUCUCUAGAGUUCUUUUGGACCAGUGGAGGGUCUAGACACUUGGAUAAAUUCAAAUCUUGAUUGAUUCUAAGAGAGAUCUUGGACUUAUGAUAUUUAAGGAUAUUUUUAUAAUUUUUCUAUCCUUAAUUGUACAUGAUUUUUAGGUUUGUCUGUGAUUAUGUAAAGAUGCAACUAAUUGUACAAGAAGAUGUCAAAGAGAACAUCUUGAUUCUGAAUUCGUAGAUCGAGGAGUUUAUCGAUUUUUGUAUUUGAGUCAAUCACAUAUAGAUAUAAAAUUUUUUGGAUAUUAACCACCAAUUUAUAUAAAAAUUAUUUAUGCAUCUAUGAUUUUGAUUUAUGUGGUUUUUGAUAGUUGCAUGCUACAUACUUAUUUGUUAAGUAUAUGUAUGAUUCUGUAUGAAAUUAUGUAUGACAUAUCACUGAUAUUGAUUUGAAUAGAUUUUGGUAAUCGUACGCAUCAAGUUUUGCAAAAGAAUAUGAUUGUAAAUCACAAUAUCUAACAAGCUUGAAAUUGAGUUAUAUAACGGUAUGUGGGGUUAUGGUGCUCUAAGCUAGCCACUUUAUUAAUACUUUAUCACAGGCCUGAAACAUAAUCAUGGUAAUUAUGAGUUGAGUACUUGUGGUCCUAUAGACUAGCCACUUUGUUAGUACCUUAUCACGGGCUUUAAACCUGGCUGUAGUAGUUUAAGAUCGAGCAUUUGUAGUUCUUUAGACUAGCCACUUUAUGAGACCUCAUCAUGGACUUGAAACAUAGUGUGGUAGUUCAGAAUUGAGCACCUGUGAUCCUUUGGACAAGCUAUUUUCUUGAUACCUGUCACGGGCUUGAAACGUGAUUGUGGUAGUCCACAGGGCUAGCUACUUUGUCUAACCUUUGUAUGGGUAGUUGUGACAGUCUACAGGACUAGUCACUUUUGUUGCCUUAUCACGGGUUUAAUACGUGAUUGUGGUAGUCCAGAGCCGAGUAUCUUGAUAUAAUCGGAUCCGAUGUAUGUUGAUUGAGAUAAUUAUAUGAUGUUGAUUAUUGCACAAAAAGAUAUAUUUGCUAUGCAUAUUUUAUAAAUUGUAGUAUCUUUUGGCAUGUGAUUGAUAUAAAUAAUAAUCAUUAAUAUUUUUUUAUUUAUUAUUAUUAUAUUGAUAUUGGUAUGUAGAAAUUCUUACUGAAUUGUAUAGCUCACCCCCCUCUAUUUCUCUUUUUCUCAAAAUUGCAAGAUGUUCAGAUUGGCUAUAGAUCAGAUUCCUGGGUGAGCAGAUGAAUAGAUAAAGUAUCAUUGAAAUCUAAAUGGAUAAUUGAAAAAAUUAAAUUCGUAAUUAGAUAAGUUUUAUCAAUUGUUAUAAAAAUUAGAUGGUUAUGGAUAUUAAAAUUAUAAGAAAUUCUAUAGAUCUUACAUAUUCUUUAGGACUUGCCCUAAGAAGUAUGCGAUCAUCGCAUAUCAAACUCGGAUGUUGGAUUCAGAAUGUGACAAAAUGGUAUUAGAGCUUAAGGUCAUGAUCUCUAGAGAUUAUGACUUAAAAGAUAUUUGAAUAUAUGGUUAUGAUCACUAGGUACAUGAUAUAUGUAGCAUAAAAGAUUCAAAGUUUGGAUUUUAGAUCAUUAGGUAUAUUGAUGAUGUGUAUAACAGAACUGAUGGGUUAUAUCUUGAAUUCAAUAAUUAGGAUUUGGCCUAAGUAUAAGAUGUGUUGAUCUUGAAAUAAAGUAUGAUAUAUUGAAGGAUGUUAAAUUAUUUAAAUUUGAUCGAAAAGAUUUGUUCUAAUUUUGAAGGAUGUUAAGCUCAAGGAUUGGGAUUUUUUUUUAAGUGAAAAAGCUACAUAGGAGCUCUAGGAUAAGAUGAGAAAUUUGUACCCAUAAGGAUUUGAUUUUGCUACAUGCUAAUUUCGAAGACAAAAUUAUUUUAAGGAGGGGAGAAUAUAAUAACCCACCAAAAAAAAGUUUAAAUCCCUUUUCAUACAAAUCUCAAAGCAUAUAAAAAAAAAUUUGAAACCUCACGCGCUGUGCACAUGAGGCAGGGAAUGAUUGGGAGUCUUCCUCUUCUUCUUUUUCCAAUUAGGAGAAAGGAUCUGAGGAUAGCCAAAUCCUAGGAUCCGUAGUCUAAAAAAGGAUCCCUCCCCUCCUAACCACCGUACCUCAGAAUCCCUUCCAUCGCCGACGAGAAAUGCUUAGGUUUUACCUUGAUCGAUUUUUCCAUGAAGGAUCUUUAGGAUUUCUCUGACAAAUUGGCAAUUCAGUCUCAUCGGAGCCCAAGCAAAACCUAGAUCCUCCUCUUUUCUUUCUUCUAGUCAGGGAUCGGAUCAUCAUCGAUCAUUAGGAUUUUAGCCGACAAUGUACCAGAUUCAUGUGGAACAGGGCCGUCCCCUAUUUUUCUUCCCUUCUUCCUUCAAACCAACAAACGUUGCCAGAUUUAGGUGGUGCUCGGGGGGCCAAGGUCGGCGUCAUCAGGGUCUAUCAAUGUUGGGUGGGGAGUUAUCACUAUCGAGGGUCAGGCCGUUGGUGGGUGGUCGGCCAUAGCCAUCCCCCCUGUUUUUCAAAACAAAAAGAAGAAAACAGGAAAAAGAAGAAGAAGAAAGAAAAAGAAAAAAAAAAGAAAAAAAGAAAAAGAAAAGAAAAGAGAGAGAGUUUCUCUUUCUUUUCUCUUUCCUAUCUCUCUUCUCUCUCCACUUUUUCUCUCUAUCAAUUUCUUUUCUUAUUUUCUCUCUCUAAUUUCUCUCUCUAAAUUUCUUCUCUUUCUUCAUGAUUUUCUCUCUCUAGAGGUCUUUUAGACCAGUGGAGAGUCUAGAUACUUAGACAAAUUCAAAUCUUGAUUGAUUCUAGGAGAGAUCUUGGACUUGUGAUAUUUAAGAAUAUUUUCAUAAUUUUUCUAUCCUUAAUCACACAUGAUUUUUAGGUUUGUCCGUGAUUAUGUAAAGAUGUAACUAAUUGUACAAGAAGAUGUCAAGGAGAACAUCUUGAUUCUGAAUUUGUAGAUCGAGGAGUUCAUCAAUUUUUAUAUUUGAGUCAAUCAUGAAUAAAGAUAAAAAUUUUUGGACAUUAACCACCAAUUUAUAUAAAAAUUAUUUUAUGCAUCUGUGAUUUUGAUUUAUGUGAUUUUUGAUAGUUGCACGCUAUAUACUUAUUUGUUAAGUAUAUGUAUGAUUCUGUAUGAAAUUAUGUAGGACAUAUCAGUAAUAUUGACUUGAAUGAAUUCUAGUAAUCAUGCGCAUCAAGUUUUGCAAAAGAAUGUGAUUGUGAAUCACAAUAUCUAACCAACUUGUAAUUGAGCUAUGUGACGAUAUGUGGGGUUAUGGUGCUUUGGACUUAUCACUUUAUUAAUGCCUUAUCAUGGGCCUGAAAUGUGAUCGUGGUAGUUAUAAGUUGAGCACUUGUGGUCCUCUAGACUAGCCACUUUGUUGGUGCCCUGUCAUGGACUUUAAACAUGACCGUAGUAAUUCAAGGUCGACCACUUGUGGUCUUUUGGAUUAGCCACUUUAUGAGACCCCACCAUGGAUUUGAAACAUAGUGUAGUAGUUCAGAGUUAAGCACCUGUGGUCCUUUAGACUAGCUACUUUUUUUAUGCUUGCAACGGGCUUAAAAUGUGAUUGUGGUGGUCCACAGGGCUAGCUACUUUGUUUAACCUUUGUGUGGAUAGUUGUAAUAGUCCACAGGAUUAGCUACUUUUAUUGCCUUAUCACGGACUAAAUAUAUGAUCGUGGUAGUCUAGAGCCGAGCACCUUGAUAUAAAUGGAUCCAAUGUAUGUUGAUUGAGAUAAUUAUAUGAUAUUGAUUAUUACACAAAAAGAUAUAUUUGCUAUGCAUAUUUUAUAAAUUAUGGUAUCUUUUGGUAUGUGAUUGAUAUGAGUAAUAAUCAUUAAAUUUAUUUAUUUAUUAUUAUUAUAUUGAUGUUAGUGUGUGAAAAUUCUUACUGGGUUGUAAAGCUCACCCUCCUCUAUUUUUUUUUUCUCAGCAUUGCAUGAUGUUCAUGAUCGGCUAUAAAUCAGAUUCGCGGGUGAGCGGAUGAAUAGAUAAAGCCUCACUGAAAUCUGAAUGGAUAAUUGAAGGAAUUAAAUUUAUAAUUAUAUAAAUUUUAUCAAUUGUUAUAAAAAUUAGAUGGUUAUGGAUGUUGAGAUUGUAAGAAAUUCUGUAGAUCUUGUAUAUUCUUUAGGGCUUGUCCUAAGGAGUGUACGGCCAUCGCGUAUCCAACUCGGAUGUUGGGUUCGGGAUGUGACAUGACCAGCGAGCAAAAGUGAUGGAGAUACAGAGAGAGGAGGGAGGAAAUGAAUAUACCAAGCAACAAAGUGAAUUACAGCUCAGCCAUGAAAAAUAUUAUUAAUUUUUUGAUAAAAUUCAUAUUUCAGAGAACAAAGAGAUCUUGUGGAAGGAAUGUGGGAGCGGCCACCAGAAAAGAAGUUGAAGAUAAGCCUCUUAGAAGCUAUUCCGUUUAAAAAUUAGUCCCACCACAACCUCUAAUUUACUUUACCCAAGAAACAUAUAUAAAAAGGAAAAGGUAAGAAAGAAAUGAUGGAUUCUUCUUUUGCUUUAAGUCAAUUCACUAAGUGAAAGAAAACUCUCAACAUUUUAACGUUAUUAAAAAUAGAUUUGUUCAGGAGCGAGAGAGCUUGAGAGCUUGAUUUCAAAUCAUGUUGGGGCCUAGUAAUCAUCAAAAUUAAUUCAAACGCCGACGAGAGAGAAGAAAUUUGAUUGAGAUAAUUAUAUGAUGUUGAUUAUUGUACAAAAAGAUAUAUUUACUAUGUAUUUUUUUUAUAAAUUAUGGUAUCUUUUGAUAUGUGAUUGAUAUGAGUAAUAAUCAUUCAUAUUUUCUCAUUUAUUAUUAUUAUAUUGGUAUUGGUAUGUGAAAAUUUUUUCUGGGUUAUAAAGCUCACCUCCCUUUGUUUCUCUUUUUUUCAGAGUUGCAUGAUGUUCAUGAUUGGCUAUAGAUCGGAUUUGCGAGUGAGCGGAUGAAUAGAUAAAGCAUCACUGAAAUUCGAAUGGAUAAUUGAAGGAAUUAAAUUUGUAAUUAGAUAAGUUUUAUCAAUUGUUUUAAAAAUUAGAUGAUUAUGGAUGAUGAGAUUGUAAAAAAUUUUAUAGACUUUGCAUAUUCUUUAAAACUUAUCUUAAGGAGAAUGCGGCCAUCACGUAUUCGAUUCGAGUGUUGGGUUCAGGGCGUGAUAUGGCCAGUGAGCAAAAGUGAUGGAGAUAUAAAGAGAGGAGGGAGGAGAUGAAUAUACCAAGCAAUAAAGUGAAUUACAGCUCAGCAAGGAAAAACUUCUUUAAUUUUUUUGAUAAAAUUCAUAUUUCAGAGAGGCCUUAUGGAAGGAAUGUUGGAGCGGCCACUGGAAAAGAAGUCGAAGAUAAGUCUCUUAGAAGCUAUUCCAUUUGAAAAUUAGUCUCAUCGUAACCUCCAAUUUACUUUACCCAAGAAACGUAUAUAAAAAGGAGGUGAGAAAGAAAUGCUGGAUUCUUCUUUUGCUUUAAAUCAAUUCACUGAGUGAGAGAAAACUCUUAACAUUUUCAUGUUAUUAAAAAUAGAUUUGUUCAGGAGUGAGAGAACUUGAUUUCAAAUCAUGUCGGGCCCUAGUAAUCAUCAAAAUUAAUUCAAAUACCGAAGAGAGAGAAGAAGAAGAGGAGAUUAAAACAGAUAAAGGAAUGAAGAGAGAGAAAAUAUCAUGAUAUUAAAAAUAAUUUUUUUCAGGAGAAAAUCAAUUCAAAUGUCGAAGAGAGAGAAGAAGAAGAGAAGAUUAAAACAGAAAAGACAACAAAGAGAUCUUGCGGAAGGGAUAUGGGAGCGGCCACCAGAAAAGAAGUCGGAGUCGAUAAGCCUCUUAGAAGCUAUUCGGUUUGAAAAUUAGUCUCACCGUAACCUCCAAUUUACUUUACCCAAGAAACAUAUAUAAAAAGAAAAGGAGGUAAGAAAGAAAUGAUGGAUUCUUCUUUCGCUUUAAAUCAAUUCACUGAGUGAGACAAAACUCUUAACAUUUUCACAUUAUUAAAAACAGAUUUGUUCAGGAGCAAGAGAGCUUGAUUUCAAAUCAUGUCCAGAUUUGUUCAAGAGAAAAUUAAUUCAAACGCCGAAGAGGAGAGAGAAGAUUAAUUUGUUCAGGAUAAAAUUAAUCCAAAUACCGAAGAGAAGAGAGAAAAGAAGAACAGAGAAAAAAAUGAAGAGAGAUAGAAUGUUGCAAUCAAAGGCUCAUAGCUCCGUCUGAUUUAUGGACCUCAUAGUUUUGUCCUUUAAAAAAUAUCUUACGUGAAAAAAAUGGUCUCCUCCUAUAUAAGCAAGAGUAUCUCAUGUGGGAUCAUUAAGUAAGAAUACCUCACAUGGGAAGAAUGGUCCCAACCUAUAUAAGCAAGAGUCUCAUUGACUCACAACCAAUGUGGAACUAAUGAAGCUCCCUACUCGACAUCACAACAGUUAAUAUAACAUAUAUUUUUCCUACAGUUUAAGGUGAUUUGACCGCCGGUAAAAAUAGGAGUUUUCUCAGCGAUGUAUGGAGAACGUUGGUAAACAUAAAAUUUUUUCCAACAGUUUAACUGAACCGCUGGUAAAAAUAAGAUUUUCUCCUAAUGGUUUUAUCAGGCCGCUAAAAAAAAUUAGAUUUUUCCUUGUGAUUGAUCUGAUUGCCAAAAAAAAAAAGAUUUUGCUUAACGGAUUAAAAAAUACUGUCUAAAAUUUAUUUUCCCAGCAGUUUGAUUUGAUUGUUGGUAAAAAUAAAAAUUUUUACAGUAUUGUGAUAUGAUCGCUGAUAAAAAUAAAAUUUUUCUCAGCGAUUUCAUCUGACUGCCGGGAAAAAUAAAAUUUUUUUUAGUAAAUUUUUGACCGUCGAGAAAAAAUAAGACUUUGCUUAGUGGAUUCAAAAAAAACACUGUCUAAAGUUUAUUUUACCAGCGAUUCUCUCUGCUGGCAAAAGAGUGCUGCUAAGUCUCUCUCUCUCUCUCUCUCUCUCUCUCUCUCUCUCUCNNNNNNNNNNNNNNNNNNNNUCUCUCUCUCUCUCUCUCUCUCUCUCUCUCUCUCUCUCUCUCUCUCUUUGUUUUUUUUUGGUUGUGCGUGUUUACUGUAUAUACACUUCCUCGUUUGCUAAGGAUGAGCAAAUUAAGUCGGACGUAAACAUUAAUCCAUUUAAAGCUAGAUCUCUGACGUACCCAAGAAAUCAAUGCCGUUGUAGCCAUUGGUGUACCUCCCGGUGGGCCUUGAGUGCGGGAAGUCGAUGCCGUAAGGAAGAAAGUUGGCCUUGCCUACAUCCGGCAGGUAGUUGUUGUUUCCGACGUCCGCCGUAGAGUCACCGAACACAUAGAUCGCCGGAACCUUUGGGUGAGCAUUCCCACUCACAGACAGAGAAAAGAAAAGAGCAAGGAGAAGAACAGGAACUAACGCCAUGGCUGCUGCUUCGAAUUAAGCUCUGAAGCUAUUAUUCCUCUAGGUGUUAUUUAUUUAUAGACUUGGAGAUCGGGGUAAUUAAGAAGACAUGGGAAAGUCAACCCGUCAGCUAUAAGUGAAAGCUUACAUCUACAAUUAGUUAAUAAACCAACAAGGGAGACAGAGUCAUCAGAGCGUCGGUGCCAGCGCCCCAGUGGUGUUAGGUCUCCGUAAGCAGAGAAGGUGCAUGUGACUCUUCGCAGUCCAUUAUGCCAGCUGAUAUAUUCUCUUGUCCUUUUUUUUCAUUAGUCUUGUACCUACGUACCGGUAGAUGGCAUAAAAAUGUGCAAGAAAUCAUCUAGAUGACGUGCAAAUGGUCAUUGCCAAUUGGAACAGUUUGUGAGAAGUUCGGUAAAACUGCUAACAUGCAUGGUAUUCUUUUAUAUCACCAUUGCUUUAGUUUAGUUUCAUCGGUAUAAAAUAAAUCAGAAUAAAUUUGUCCACUAUCUGUUUGUGACAAUAAAUCCACAGAAAUAGCAAAGAUGGAAGAUCAAAUAGCAUAUAUUAUCAUUUUUAGAGUGGAUUCUCGUCACUUAGCUGACCUCAACGAAAGAUCGACCUCAUCAGAGAGCCAAAGUUAUCAAAAAAUCAACUUCAGUGGAAAGCCGACCUCAUCAUAAAGUCAAGGUCAUCAAAAGUCGAUCUCAUCAGAAGACCGAUCUCAUCGAAAGGCCGAGGUCAUAAAGAAGCUGACCUCAUCAGAAUGCUGAGGUCAUCAUCACCUGGACACAUGGCAUCAGCCCAUGACCGACUUGCCCCAAAACUACUAGUAAGUGGAAUGCUCACCUCGGUCUGCUUUCGAACUUCUUUAUCUUACUCCAGUUAACAGCCAACUGAAUCGACAAUUGAGUGGCAUCACUCGGUGAGUUCAUUCAAUCGACUUCUGGGCCCCCUUCCUCCGACGCACGUUGGGCCCAUCUCGACUCCGAGUUCUCAUCCUCUGUCGAUCACGAUCCCCGCUUGUGAGUCGGGAUCCCUAGGCACGGGCAUUAGCCGAGCAGUUGAAACUAAAGUGUGGCCACCAUGCUACCCCGUCGGAUCAUAUCAAGUCACAUCAUCCCUGAGAAGUCCAUGCCACUCUUAGGGCCCUAUCAGAUGGCUCUUGCCUCUAACUAUGACAGUUCCUCACGUGCUAUAAAGUGACAGUAUUCAAAAAAGUCAAAAAACCCGGCACGGUGCCACUUAGAGACAUAAUUAAGGAUAGAAAGGCCUUUUACAGCCUCCCUCUUCUCCUCAAGGUUCCAACUUCACCUAUAUAAAGAGAUAAACAGGAAUCCUCUAGGUACGCCUCCUCUUCCUCUCAUAAACGCUCGCUCUUUUUCAUUUACUGUAGAAAAUCUGAUUUAAGCAUCGAAAGAUCUUCGACGGAGCCACCUCCAAUGGAGGCUUUCCUUGUAGGUUCGUCCACCAUCGACGCACUGGAUGUCACCCCGCUCCAGUGCCUCUGAUCUAAGAUGAAUUUCAGCCACAACAGAUUAGCACAUCAGGUCGGGGUCCUUGUCUACUUUUGAAAAAAAGUGCACAACCCAUUGUUGUGCUACCAUGAAGAGCGUCCUUGAGGCAUUCUAACCCAAGGAAUGCUCUCCGACAGCAACUUUGGAUGGAGAUUAUACUCCAUGUUAGCUAUCAGAGGCAUCCCCACAACCCACUUUACCAAUAUCCAGAAGGAACAUCGUUGGAAAGCCAAGCGCACGGCUCUCGAGGAUGUUCAAUAGGGGGCAGAAAAUCCUUGAUCAAAUAAGAUAGGAUGGUAUGGCCAGAGAAGAUAGGGAUGGCCUCUCCCUGACACUCCAUUUAUGGCUCCCUCCUUUGACGAUGGCAUCAAAUGGUCGAUCCCUGCUCGACUAAUCCUUCAGUACUGGCAUUCUUUCAUCCUUACUUUAAAGCUUAGCUUAGCUUGGGAAUUGGAAGGCCCAGUCAAAGACGGUCUGACAAAUUUUCUUAUCCUAUGUGUGCAAGCCAGCAAUAAAAAUCUCGCUCUUCAAUGAGGGGCCGAAGCCCUCCGUGGCUAAGAAGCAAGAGACAACUGAUUCGGACCUCUGAGGGUCAAACUUUACUUUUUAGUAAAUCUACUACAGCCAACAUAUACCACAAAGAUCCAUAUGGCUAAAGAUCAAGUGUAUAUAUAGUCAAAUUAUAGCAGUCUUACUGUGAACAGCUAAGGUAUAUUAGAUCAAAGGAUUAGUCAUACAACUGUAUAUCGAGUAAAUCACUGAUGAGUAGAUAGCCAUCCAAGUGAUUUCUUGUAAUAGUCAUGCUCGAUAUCCUUAUUCUAUAAUAACUAUCUGCACUCUUGCUCCAGUAUUUUUAUAUUACAGAUUUGAGACUCGUCUAUCCUAAAGAAAGCAACACAUGCAUCAAUCUUAUCAGAUCAUUAAUCAUCGUCUUCAUGAUGAUCUAUUGAUCAGAAGUAAUUCAGAAAUUAAUUAUCAAUGACACAUACUUCAAAUUCUCAAUACUUGAGAAUAUAUGUCAACAUCUUAUUAAUCUCUUGGAUGAUUUAUAGACAUAUAACACAAUAUAAAUAAAAAAUUAAUAUAAUUUUAUUGAUUUUAAUAUUUUAAAUAUAAAAUUAUGCUCCUAAAAAAUUUAUAUGUAUCAGUCUAAUUGGCUUCUAGGAUACAUCUAACACUACUAUCAGUUAUCUAGCAAACUCUAAAUCUUAAUAGCCAUUACUUCAUGAUGAUCAGACUGAUUGUAUAUGAGUAUGUAAACUUUUACACCUUGUAGGUAAUACUUAACUUUCUUUACAACUUUUCAAUCCUCCAUUCUUGAGUCAUGUUGAUAAUAUCCAAGCAUUGAUAUAGUGAAGACAAUGUUUGGGCACAUACAAACAUGGACAUAAAUCAAACUCAUAAUAACUGAUGCAUAGGUUAUAAAUAUUAUUUUAUUAAAUUUAUCACUCUUUACAAUAGAAGCAACCUCGGAAGAAUAUUUUUCUAUCUUAAAAUUAAUACUAUAUAUAGAAAUGUAAGUUGUUUAAGAUAGUCCAAGUAGCCUUUAAGGAUCUAUUUUGUGAAUCUCAAUGUCGAUAAUAUAAAUAGCUUCAUCUAUAUAUUUUAUCUCAAAAUUUUAGAAUAAAAAUGAUUUAUUUUUUCUAAAUGGAUCAAAAUUAUUACUGACAAGUAGAAUAUUAUUCAUAUAAUACCAAAAUUAUGAACUUAGUCCCACUGACCUUCAAAAUUAUGUUAAUUAAUAGUAUUUUUUAAACUUAAAAAAUAUAAUUAUUUCAUCAAAUUUUAGAUAUCACUAUCUGAAAGCUUGUUUAAGUCAAUAAAUAAAAUUUUUUAAUCUACAAAUAAUGUGCUCUUGUCUACUGACAACAAAAUCCUUGGAUUGUUUGAUACAGACCUCUUCUUCUAUAUCACUGCUGAGGAAGGCCAUUCUCAUCCAUCUAAUGUAGCUCCUAGUCAAAAUGAGCUAUUAAGGUCAUGAUAAUCAAAAAAAUAUCCUUUGAUGAAAUAAAAGAUUAAAUAGUUUUUUUUUAAAGUUAAUGCCUUCCUUUUGUAUGAACUUUUUUGUCAUAAAUCUGAUUUUUUACCAUUCAAUUUUAUUGUUGGAAUUUCGAUUGAUCCUAUAGAUCCAUUUGCAACUGAUUGAUCACACCUUUCAAGUAUGUUAACUAAUUUUUAGACAUAGUUAUUAUCCAUAGAGCUCAACUCUUCUUUCAUGGCAUCCAACUAUUGUAAGAAUUUUUCAUCUUUCAUGGCCUGUAAGAAUGACUUUCUAUUAUCACCUUUUUUAUCUAUAUCAGUCAAAUACACCACAUAAUCUAGAGCUAUAAUAGAUUUUCUUAUUCAAGUUAGAUUUUUUGAGAGCUAUCUCUUGAUCCAUUUAUGGUAGUUGUUAUACAGUUGUUUCUUUGGUGAUAGAAAUCUCAUGGGAUAGAACUUAAUGAAGUGAGGAUUCCUUCUGAAUAUUAUCUAAAAGAAUAACAGUAGGACACGUCACUUCAAUCUGCUUUUCAAAUCUAGUAUUUCUUCAAAGAUAAUAUCUCGAGAUUCUCCACUCUCAUUAAACAUAUCAUCUUCAAAAAAUUUAGCUUUAUUAAAUUCUACUAUCUAUAAUGUAUGAGAUGAAAAAUAAAAUCUACAUCAUUUUUAUCUCUCUAGAUAACUAAUAAAAAAAAUAAUGAUCAUUCUGAGAUUAAAUACAAUUUUCCUACGGGUUGUAAACCUUAGCUUCAGCUGGAUAUCUCAUAUACAUAUUUUCUAAACUAAAUUUUUUGCCAGUCCAUAGCUCAUAAGGAGUCCUUUGAACUACCUUAGUAGGGAUCCUAUAUAACAUAUGCAUAGCCAUCUUUACAGUCUUAUCUCACAAGAAAAUAGGUGGGGUAAAAUAACUUAUUAUAGUCCGAACCAUUUAUUUAAGCAUCACAUUUCUUGUUUCAAUUACACAAUUUUGAUUUGGUGUGCUUGACAUUGUAUAUUGGAAUAUAAUGCUCUAUUUCUUUAAAAAUUUUGCUAAUGAUCAUGGUCUUUUCUUAUAUAUCUUUAUAUAUUUACCAUAGUAUUCACCACCUCUAUCAGAUCUGAAUUUUAAUCAUUUUUUUAAUUAUCUCUCUACCUCUAUUUUAAUUUUCUUAAAGGCUUCAAAAAUAUCAGUCUUAUAUAUACCAUGAAUAGUCAUUAAUGAAUAUAAUGAAAUAAUUUUCACCUAUUAGAUAUGGGAAAAAAGAUAUGCAUACAUCAAUAUGAAUGAUUUCCCAAGUUCUUUCACUCCUCCUGGCACCCUUCUUAGACGUGUAUGUCUAGUUUAUCUUUAUAUAACCUCAUAGACCAUAAAAUUAGUGAUGUUUAAUGAUCCGAAGAUCCUAUCCAUUACUAGCAUUUUAUAACGUGUCUCACCUAUCAGCGGUAGUGUCUAAAUCAUAAUAACUGAGAUGGAUAUUAUCCACAAUGGUCAUGUAGAUAUUAACUUUAUCACAAUAACUAUCAAGUAUAUCUUUACAACUUUAUCAAAGGCUUAUUUUUAGUUAGAGUUCAGAUCAAAUUAAACUAAUCAAUAUAAAUCUCAAUGUGUGUUAGUAUGGACUACAUACAAAUGGGCUUAAUCAGAUAAAUCUAAGAAAUGCUUCUAAGCUCUGACGCUAUUAUUCAUCCACUAACUAUUAUUCAUAGAGUGGCGGGAGCGGGAUAAAAAGCUAAUGAAAGCCAUCAUGACCAGCUAUAAUUGGAAGUUUGUGGAAAGUGUGUGUGUAUAUAUAUAUAUUAACUAAUAAACCAACAAGAAAGAUAAAGUUGUCAUAGUGUCAGAUCCAACACCCAAGGGGUGUUAGGUUUCCAUAAGCAAACAACAUGUGUUUUCUAGGUAAUUAAGUUAGAAAGUUUUAAUUUCCUCCUACUUUUUUUCUUUCUUUUUGUUGGUCAGAUCUAUAUCCAUAAAAACUUUGUAUGGAUAUAAAAAAUAUUGUAAUCUUCAAGCCAAACAAUCCAUAUGACUUUGAUACCAUGAUAUUAGAAUUUUAUGAGAUAAUCGAACUUACUUGAAAAAGAAACCAUCGAUGCCAUCCUCAAUCUCUCUAAUCAACCUACCUACAAUCAUAAAAAUAAAUUCAGCUGGAUAUGCUGCUCGCUAUUCACGAGCAGCACCUUAGUUUUUUAAUUCCAACUUUGAGCAUUCUUGAUGGAAAUAGCCUUACAAGCUCUUGGAUGAGUUGAAAAUUAAGUUUGUUGGUGAUAUUUUUUUAUAACGUACCUUAUCCAUUAGAGACAAUAUCUGAAUCAAUUAGUAAUGACUGAGAUAGACAUUAUCUACAAUAAUUAUAAAGAGAUUAACUUUAUCAUAAUAACUAUCAAGUAUAUCCUCAUCUCUUUAUUAGAGACUUAUCUUUAGUCAGAGUCUAGUUGUUUAAAUUAAAUCUACUAAAAUAAAUCAGGAUGCAUGUUAGUAUGGGCCACAUCUAGAUGGGGCUUAAUCAGAUAAAUUCUAAUAGAUACUAUUCCUUCUUUAGCCGUUAUUUAUAGAGUAGGGGAGCUUGGUAAGAAGCUAAUGAAAGCCAUCAUGGCCAACUAUAAAUGAAAGCUUGUGGAAAGCAUGCAUAUACAAUAUUUAACUAAUAAAUCAAUAAGAAAGACAAAGUUAUCAUAGUGUCCAAUCGAGCCCCCAAGGGUUGUUAGGUUUCCAUAAGCAGAUAAGGUGGAGCCAUUAAGUGUUUUCUAGAUAAUUACAUCGAAAAGUUUUAAUUUCCUCCUAAAAAAAUUUUUCUUUUUUUGUUACAGGUUAGAUCUAUAUUCGUCGGUGCCUCCAGAAGUAGGUAGUCUAAGUACAUUCUGAGAGGGCUGUCGAUAUCCAGAGUUUUGACGACGAGGAUAAUUCAUGGCCUUAUGACCCUACUGACCACAACCAAAAUAUGCUUAUGAGAACUAGUGACAAUUCUGUUCCAAAUGGAUUCCUCCAUAUCGACCACAUCGUGAUUCUUUCUUUGACUAGCCCCUGUCACCUUUUUGCUGACUUUCUUGUCGCUUUGACUACUUGCCAGGAUAACCAUCGGAUUUAGAUCUCUUCUUCUGUUGUCAUUCUCUUUCCUAUUGUGUGUUAAUAUUUUCUUGCUCCACAAUCUUUGCUAGGUUAAGAACCUCUUGGUAAGAGGCCAACUGCAUCGGUCUCACUCCAACAUGGAUCCUGGAUUUUAGUCCUUUCUCAAACCUCCUAGCCUUAAUGCUGUCAAUCACCACAAGAUCGUAAAAACUUUAUAUGAAUAUAGAGAAGGUUUCGUUCUUCAAGCUAAAUAAUCUAUACGGCUUUGAUACCAUAAUAUUAGAACUUUAUGAGACAAUAAAACUUAUUUGAAGAAGAAGUCAUUGAUGCCAUCCUCGAUCUCUUGAAUUUGCUAAGUUGCAAUCACAAAAAGAUAUUUUCUUUGGCCCAUUGGUUUCAAUCCUCGCUGCAAGCGCAUUGGUUGCAUAAUUUCAACUUUGGAUAUUUUCGAUGGCAGCAGUAUUGGAUGUUUAUUGCUCUGUUUCGGGGCAAUCAAUCAACUUUGAUAAAUCUAGCUAGUAUUAUCUUUAGCCCAUCUACUCCGCUGCAUGUUAAACGUCAAAUUCGUGCUUUGCUCAAUAUUUCUCCAGCUAGAAGUAUGUGGAAGUAUCUAGGGGUCCCUUUAAGUGCUCAUUCCUUGAAUCCUUCUAAUUGUCAAUAUUUGGUAGAUAGAGUGACUAGUUGAAUUGCUUCUUAUAAAUGGAAAGCCAUGUCCUUGGCCGGUCGCUCAAUGCUCAUCCGAUCGGUACUGUUGGCACUUCCAUUAUACACCAUUGCUUAUGUUCAUGUUCCAUUACUGGUGUUGCAUAAGAUUGAGAAAGAAAUUCGAGCUUUUUUAUGGGGCCAUGCUGCUGAUCCUAGGGCUAUGCAUCUAGUUUCCUAGCAGCAAGUUUGCAUGCCAAAGAAUCAUGGGGGUUGGGAUUUCAAUCAUUGCUACUACAAAGGCAAGCUUCCAUGUGUAGGUUAGCGGUAUAACUUAUCUUGCAAACACAAUCACUUUGGGCUUUAUUAGUUAUUGCUAAAUAUCAAUUUUAAGGUUCAUGGAUUGCAUAUAGUAAGCCCAGAGCUUGUUCUGUGAUCUGGAGGAAAAUUUAUUCUACAGGUUCCUUAGUGCAAUAUCAUUUUCAAAGGGUAAUUGGUACAAGGCAAUCUAUUAAUGUUUUUGCUGAGCCAUGGAUUUCCUCUUAAUGCUUCCCUACAUUCAUAAAUAUGGACCAUAUCAUUACUGAGCUUCAGGUAGCCGAUCUGCUUUCUUCUGGUAGAUCCUGGAACCUGGCUCAGUUGAAUCAUUAUUUUGUUGCUGAUAUAAUGACCCAAAUUCGAUUGAUUGCUUUAGUUCAGGGAAAUUGGGCUGAUCAACUAAUUUGGCACCCUACUCAUUUAGGAUCAUGUCCAUCAUUGCGAUAUGAUUGCAGCAUUGCCUCAUACCUUACCUUCAUUGACAACAAAUUUCAAUUGUUUAUAGAGGUUACAUAUGUCUCCUAGGCUGAAGUUUUUUUGUUGGAAACUGAUGUGGCAGAGACUACCUUGCAAAGCAUAUCUUGUUACAAAAGAAAUUCUAUCAUCUCAGCAUUGUGAUCUUUGCCCUGACCAGAUUGAAGACUGUUCUCAUGUAUUGUUGACUUGUUCUUAUGCUAAAGAGUGUUGGAUGCAUCUUCAUUGUAUUUGACCAAGAAUUCCUUUGUUCACUAAUUUGCCAGCUAUGCUUGACCAUAUGUCGCAAGCUUUGGUUUCAUGGAUUGCGAACAAUUCAUUUCUUACUUCAUCUAAAAUUCUACUUAUAAGAGAUAUUCAUAAAUGGAAAACUAGAUUAAUUCAUUUUCAAAUAUCUCAGGUGUGUCGGGAAGCUAAUCAACCGGCUGAUAAUUUGGCCACAAAAGCUCUACAUCGCGAUAUUGAUUGCUCUAAUACUGAUUUCUUUGAUUCCGACUUCUCUUAUUUAUUACAGGCUGAUGGAAGGCAUGCGCUGUAUCCAAGAGCAGGUUGAUACCUUUAGAAAUAUAGUCUUGGAUUGCUGCACGGGUGUUUUUAGCUUGUAUCUUACAAGAAAUUUCAUUCCCUUAUUUCUGGAACACCAUCAUGAACCUGUGAGCGAUUGUCUGUUCCACUUUACUCAGCUUCUUUGUGUACUGAUGGCUCAGUUUUGUCACCAUGAACACUACUCCUAUGUUUGCAAUCAACAUCAAAGUUCAAUCACUACAAUUCUGUGGUGUUCCAGACUUGGCUAUCAGUCGCAAUUUUGGAGUCUAUGGCAUCCCUCUCUUUUAAGGAGCAUUUUUAUUUCAACUGGAUUACUGCCGGAUGGAUGUUGUUGACCUUUUUUUUGUCAGUUGCCUUUGGCCUUCAUUGCUUAUUUAUGUUAUGCAUACUGUUUGUACUUAUCUUCUAUGCUUCUGUUCCCAACUUCCGUGUUUUCCUAUGCUGUAAUCACACUGAUCACUUAUAAAGCAUUUGCACCUCUUAUUUACCAAAAAAAAAAGAAGCCCAGCCUCCGUAAGCUUAACACCCCAAAAGGAGGAUCCAAUGGCCCCCAUUCUUAUCGUCUGUGACCAUGGCCCAGUGGGCAACGUGGUGAGCGUGCCGAAUAGUUGCAACGUAAACAGCCAGUGGGCCAGAGCCCAGUUGGUAUUGCUACUUGUUUGCGUUUCAUCCCUAUGCGGUACUUUGCUAAUUAAGCGCGAACCAUUUCAGCUUCGCAGCGAAGGGACCCCCAAGUUCUAUAUGUAUGUCUCUUCUUAAUGCAAAACCUACCAACUUUGCCUCGAUAGAUGAAGUAUUAAGGGUUUUUUAAUUCAAAUCACAAUGUCUGAAUCAUGGUCCAUUCUCCUUUUUUGGAUAUAGAAUAGGCUUUGGGAUGGCAUCACGUUAUUAUCACAUCAUGUUAGGUUCUUAACUCGCACAAAUCAUCAAAUUUAAUAUGAAGUUUAACUUUUGAAGCGCUUCUUUAAGCAGGCUCUCCUAUGAUUCCCUUCUACUAUGGUUUAGGCAUACAACAAUGGGAUAAUUGGUUAAAUUUCAUGGUCAUUAACCAUAGAAAUAGUCCAACAUAUAUACAACUGUAUAGAACUUAGAAGCAUUCCAUGUGGCUGCGCUGCACUUGUUGGUUUUGUAUGAGAUAUAUUUGGAAACGCAGGUUACGCAUCAAUCCAUGACGUCUCAUGGCAGAUCUAAUGGUCAUCAGUAUAUUGAAACCUAACGCAAAGCUUCUUAAUUAAUGACAGUUAUCUCAAUUUUUCACAAUGCAUAUUCAGGUACCGUGGCAAUUAUUUGCUAAACUAUCAAGAUAUAUAUAUAUAUAUAUAUAUAUAUAUAUAUAUAUAUAUUNNNNNNNNNNNNNNNNNNNNNNNNNNNNNNNNNNNNNNNNNNNNNNNNNNNNNNNNNNNNNNNNNNNNNNNNNNNNNNNNNNNNNNNNNNNNNNNNNNNNNNNNNNNNNNNNNNNNNNNNNNNNNNNNNNNNNNNNNNNNNNNNNNNNNNNNNNNNNNNNNNNNNNNNNNNNNNNNNNNNNNNNNNNNNNNNNNNNNNNNNNNNNNNNNNNNNNNNNNNNNNNNNNNNNNNNNNNNNNNNNNNNNNNNNNNNNNNNNNNNNNNNNNNNNNNNNNNNNNNNNNNNNNNNNNNNNNNNNNNNNNNNNNNNNNNNNNNNNNNNNNNNNNNNNNNNNNNNNNNNNNNNNNNNNNNNNNNNNNNNNNNNNNNNNNNNNNNNNNNNNNNNNNNNNNNNNNNNNNNNNNNNNNNNNNNNNNNNNNNNNNNNNNNNNNNNNNNNNNNNNNNNNNNNNNNNNNNNNNNNNNNNNNNNNNNNNNNNNNNNNCCAUAUGUGGACAUUAUACGAUUAUACUUCUUCAGUAAGAAUUUCUGUAGUACAGUAGUCAAAUCCAAACCCAUGUUAUUUAUUUCUGCAGACGCCAUCAUCCCUGAUAGCAACUACCUCGACUCGCAUGUUGCAAUUAUGGUUCCCCGACUAACAAUGGCUACCUUAUUGAAUAACACACCAACUUGUUUUCUAACUAUUCCUCCACCAACUGCUUGAAGUUAAUAGGAGUGACAAACGGCGGUGAUCCACUGUAGAUGUCUAGGACAGCCUCCUCGUAUGCCCUCAGGGUAAGAUGUACAGCGUCCCAAAAUAGGUAUUCAUUGCGGUUCUCACAGUAAGUAGCGGUCCGAGUGCAACCGGCCGAACUUUCACCUCCACAGCAUGCACUUUGGACAUCUUUAAACCCUGGCGACGUGUCAUUAAAACUUUUUAGUCACUUGAUCACUCUAAUUUUUUUAUCCAAGAUGUAGGAGCUAAUUAAUAUUAGUUACAUGACCUUGCACCAAGAGUAGUUAUUGAGCUUACCAGCUGCUUCUGGAUUAGCUAUGAUAUUUGACAAAGCUGCAUAAUAACUGCCAAGCGAGUACUUCAUCCCCUUCAAUGUGGAGCUAAGAUUGCUUAACAUCUUUUUGACAGCAUCAUUAAAACCAACGGUCAAAUCAUUCAUAACGUUGAAGCAAGCUCCGGAAUGGGUAAAUAAUCUUCUUGCGAGUGGGACGCAACCGAUGGGUCCAACGUCGAUAAUCCCAAACUUCCUUGCUCCCAAGUUGUACAACGCCUGCCGUUAUAAAAUGUAACUAGCACUUUUCAGGAAAUUCAGAAAUGUUAUACUACUGGAGAAGAAAAGAGAGAGGAACUUCACCUCGAUAUGGCUUUUGUACUUGGAGAUGAGAGUGUUGUAGAAUUGUUGAAUUUGUGUGCAUGUUGUUUGGUGCCGUGUUGCAUAGAACAUAGGCAAAGACGUCGUUGGCCCCGGUGCUGAUGAGAAAGAUGGAUUUUGAGAGUACAAUGUUUGAUUUGUUAGUUGUGGCAAAAUAUUUGAUCUGUUUUGUCAUAGUGAGGGUAUUGCUUCCCUGGUAUAUAGAUAAAUGAGUAUACAUUGAUUAGGUGUCGUUUAGUUGUUUAGGAGUUCUAAAGCAGUAAAGUAGGUAAACAAAAAAAUAUUAUCUAUAGAUCCCUAGAAUAAUCUGGACUUUUUAAGUCUCUGAACUUCUCAAGUGAAAUAAAACCUCUUUGAACUACUUAAAGAAUUAUUUUCGCCAUCCACAUAUUUAUAUUCAUGUUAUACAGAUUUAUGUUCAGAUUACACAGAUUGAUAUUCAAAAUUACACGUUACAUAGUUCUUUGAUUAUCUAAUUUUUAUAGCUAGUUAUGCAGAUUUAUGUUUAUAUUAUACAGAUUUAUACCUUGGUUACACUAUUGUUUUAUCUGAUUACAUAGUUUUAUUAUUCGAUUAUAUAAUUAAAUGACUGGGAUCUAAAAAUAUCUCUUUAAGCAAUUCAAGAAGAUUUUAUUCUAUCUCAGAGGUCCAGAUAUUUAAAAUAAAUUCAGAUCAAUCUAGAAACUUGUAGAUAAUAUUUUUCUAAACAAAAUAUGUAAGUACUGUAGAAAGUGCAGUGGUGCUCACAGUGGAGUCAAGAAUUCCAGAUCCUCCGGAUGCGUAGUUUACUCCUACUCGAUUGUUGGAGUUCUUUGGGAGGGAAAGAUAUGGCGGCGGACUCAACCAGAAGCCCAUCUGACGGGCUGCGCACAUCAUCAGAGAUCAGUAGCCAAAAAUGGACAAGUGGGAGGAAUAAUAGCGUAAAAAUUUAUGAUCCAUAUGUUUCUUUAUUGUUAUUAUUUUCAAUCAAUAUUUCUAUAUAUAUAACUCAAGCCAAGCUUGAGUAGUCUAAAUAUAAAAUGUUAGCAAAUAAUGGUUAUAAUUUAGUAAAAGAUUUAUUAUAUUAUGAUAAGAUAAAUGAUUAAUAUUAAGCUAGCUCUCCUAAUGUCCAAUGCUAAAGAUUUGCAAUUAAUGCAACAACAUUACCUUAUUUUUGAGUAAGUAUAGCAAGAAUGUAUAUAAAAAUAUACAUGAUACACAGAAUUAUGUGUGUGCAUAUGUAUAAAGCUAUUUUGACUGAAGUCACCAGAGAAGAUCCUCAUUAUAAUAAAAUAACUGGAAAAUGCUCUGCCCUUCAAAAUAAAUUGAAAAUGCAGAUCAAACACUAUAAAAAAAUAAAUUUUUGAUGAUAGAAUUAUUUAUGAUAAAAAUAUAUUCAUCGUAAAUAAAGAUAUUUAUGACAAAAAAUAAUUUUCAUCGUAAAUAAGAAAUUAUUUGUGAUGAAAAAAAAAUUUAUAUCGUAAAUAGUUAAGUAUUUACGACGUAACUGAGAUUUACUCACAAAUAAUAUAUCAUUUGUGAUGCAAAAUUUACGUCGUCAAUAAUCGAUAAAAAAUAAAUUUUUUUAAAAAUAAAUAAAUCUCAUUUUAUUGGUUAUGAAAAAUUUUCAUCAUAAAUAAUAAUUAUUUGCGAUGCAAAUCGAAUUUGAGUCAUAAAUAUGUAAUUAUUUAAGAUGCAAAAUUUGCAUCACAAAUAAUUGACAAAAAAUCAAAAUUUUUAUAAAUAAAUAAAUCUUUGAUUAUUUGCGAUGGAAACUUUUGUCACAAAUAAUUGAUGAAAAAUUAAAAUUUUUAUAAAUAAAUAAAUCUCAGAUUAUUUAUGAUGGAAAAUAUUCACCACAAAUAAUAAUUAUUUGCGAUGUAAAAUAAAUUUGCAUCAUAAAUAUUUAAUUCUUUGUGUUGCAAAUAAUCAAUAAAAAAUUAAAAUUUUUAUAAAUAAAUAAAUCUCAAAUUAUUUAUAAUGAAAAAUAUCCAUCACAAAUAAUAUAUUAUUUAUGAUGUAAAUAAUAGUUACGUCACAAAUAACUCUUAAUUUGUGAUGCAAAAUCAAUUUACAUCGCAAAUAAUCAAUGAACUUAAUAAUUUCCAUCAAAAAAUAAUUUUUUUUCUCUAAAAUUUUUCUCUCUAAAAAAAAUUAACAAAAAAAUUAAAAAAAUUACUUAUAGAAAAAUAAUUCAAGUAUUUUAUGAUCGAUUUUUUGAUCAUAAAUUUUUAUAUAUUUUACAAUCAAAAAAUCGAUCGUAAAUAUAUUUUAUAAUCAAAUAUAAUUUUUUUUAUUUUUCUCUGAACAUGAUAUAAUUUUAAAAUUUAAAAUCGAUCUCUAUCAUUCAUUAUCUAAAUAAUUAUCAUUAGAGUGUCACCACAAAAGACUGUCUUGAUCCGAUAGUCCUAGUUAUGUCGAUCAAUAAAAUUCAAUUUCGAUGGUCAUGAAUGACCACAUGAUGAUCUAAUCGAUAGAAACCACCGAUAGAUCCGCAAACUUACAAUAAUGAUCUCGAUGAUAUUUGUAGAGCACUAUCAAAAUUUUAUUUCAAUCGAAUAUCAUUAUCAUAAUCAAUUUAGUACGGAAUGAUUUAAACUAUUAAAUAAAAAAUAAGUGAUCAAAAGAUCAAAUAGUGUCCGAUUAUAAGAUGAUUUUUAGAAUGAUAUUUGCUACUAUUUUAAUCAUCUGUACGAUGGUGAUUGUAAAAUUCAAACCUCGUGUAUAUAAAAUUUUGAUAGGUCCGUCGAAGAACGUCACCCCGGAGCAUUGCAGUGCGAGCACGAGGGAUGGUGUCUCCGUAUCGAUAUUCUGUCCGGCUACACCACACCCAUUAGAGGAUGGUGCGAGCCAUAGUAGACUAAGCUAGGUAUCAUAUGCCGCAACUAUGCCCCUGUGACGCUCUUCAAUGAGCAUCAGGUUACACAGGCUCAGAGAGAGAUCUUCUAUAGCUACUUAUAGAUAAAAUAAUAUUUAGUGAAAUAUUUAAGUAGCACUAUAUUCUUACAAUAUUUAUUAUUGAUAGGCUAUAUUUGAUAUUAUUAAUUUUGAGCUCGAUUACAUACGGCGAGCUAUAGAAGAUCAUUUAUGCUCACGUUUCAAAGAUUAUCGGCAUCGCAUUCAUCACCACUAGUACGCUAUAGUGCAGGACCAUGGGGUGGAGGCAGUAUGGUAGUAGCCAUAUGACAGCAUCAAUAUCGAGGACUGGAUUGUCAUAUACUGCAGGUAUGAGGAUCUGACAUAUCAGGUGAAGUAUCCAAUUUUUUUUAGAGUUUAAUAGUUGAAUUAUUUAUUCUUAAAUUUAAUUAUUUACUUACUAGUUUGGUUGUUAACUAUACAGUACCGAUGUGUCUGAAAUACUAUGAAUCGGACGAGAUAGACUAUUGCGCACUAUGGGGUUCGAGGCCGUUCACUCAUCAUAUCGAGUAGAUGAUAAGUAAUUUAUAUUUAGCAUAUUUUACUCUUUAACUAUUUAAAUUUUUUUAAUAAUUAUUCUCAAAUUAAAGAGAGAUAUAGAGAGCGACAAAUUUUCUAGUAGGAUAGAGAUCUACCAACGGACCUACCAACAAUGGUCAGGAGAGUGGAUGCCGGGGAGCCAGGAGAUUUAUGUAUGUUUUUCCAACUAAUUUUUUCGUAGGCAUUUUGAUUUCAAUACAAGCUUAGAAUAUCUUUAACUUUAAUUUUUAGAAUCGUAUGAUAGAGAUUAGAUCCCAACCUAUCCUUGAGGGCUCGACCGCACCCACAAAUGAUGAGACUAUGAUCAGGUACUUGGUAUGAGAUUCUGUUAUGUUAGAGAGCUAGGAUAUUGGAUCAGAGCUCCCCCAUCCUCCCACUCAUCCAGGACUGACAUCCAUGCUGUCUGCGAUGUUCGAUUGGAGGAGCUACAGAAGUAGGCUACUAAAGAUCGACAGCGAGCUACUGAGGAUCAAUAGCUAAUAAGGCAGAUGAUGAAAUGGAUGGUGCAGAUGAAGCAAAUGAUGAGCGAUGAGGCAACAGCAAAUCGGUCCAUUAUCCUCCACCAAUUUUUCUUCUCCAGAUGCCAAUGCUUGACAGCCAAUGAUUUGUUUCUGUAUUUUUAUAUUUUUAUUUUAGACCUCUUAUAAUUAUUAAAUUUAUAUUUUUAUAAUUAUAUUUUAAUAUAAUAAAAUUAUCAAAUUUAAUUAUUUAUAGAUUUAUUGUCUAUAUUUUUUAUUUUAUUUUAUAGAUUAUAAAUAUUAAAUAUUAAAAAUAUAAAUUAAAAAAUAUAUAUUUAUAAUUUAUUUAAAAAAUAUUAUAUUAUAAUUAGCGAUGAAUUUAUUUGCGAUGGAUUAUUUCCAUUACAACUAAUUUAUAUUUUUAAAAUUCAAAAAUAUUUUUUAAAAUUAUUUGCGACCGAAUUAUUUCAUUGCAAAUAAUUUUUUUCAUAAAAUUAUUUACAAUGAAUUACUUUCAUCGCAAAUAAUUUAUUUUUUAAAUUUAAAUUUUUUAAAAAAUUAUUUAUGAUGGUAUUUUUUUAUCGUAAAUAAUUUUUUGGAAUAAAUUUUUUUAUGAUAAAUUUUUUUAUUAUAAAUUAUUUAUUUUAUUAAUUUUAAAAAUAUUUAAUUGAUUUAUUAAAUUAUUAAUGAUGAAAAUUUUUAUCAUAAAAAUAUAAUUAUUAGUGACGAUAAAUAAAAUUUUGUUACGGAUGAAUGGCAAAGGGUAACUUUUUCGUUUAGAAAGGAAGAUGGGCACAAUGAUGCACGUGAGAUGACGAUAAGUGAUGCACCCAUAUCACGUGCUUGUCCCCGUCAAAGGAGCAAGUCGUGCAUCUCCCCUUCAAAGGAGCAAGUUAUCUCCCGCCGUUCACCCCGAACGGCAGAGGGUCCCGAUCCUUAAAAAUGCAUGUCCAUCGUACGUGUUUACUAACCGGUGUUACCUUGUAAAGAAGAUCCUUUUUAUAACAAAAUAACUGGUGAAAUGCUCUGCCCCUCAAAACAAAUUGAAAAUGCAUGUCCAUCGUACGUGUUUACUGUUUAAACACUUCCUCCCUUGCUAAGGAUGGACAAAUCAAGUCGGACGGAAACAUUAGUGCAUUUAAAGCUAGAGCUCUCACGUACCCAAGAAAUCGAUGCCGUUGUAGCCAUUGGUAAAUCUCCCGGUGGGCCUCGAGUGCGGGAAGUCGAUGCCGUAAGGAAGAAAGUUGGCCUUGAAUACAUGCGGCAGGUAGUUGUUGUUUCCAACGUCCGCCGUAGAUUCACCAAACACAUAGAUCGCCGGAACCUUUGGCUGAGCAUUCCCACUCACAAACAGAGAAAAGAAAAGAGCAAGGAGAAGAACAGGAACUAACGCCAUGGCUGCUGCUUCUAAUUAAGCCCUGAAGCUAUUAUUCCUCCUCUAGGUGCUAUAUACCGGGGGAGCGGUGUAAUUGGGAAGCCUUGAGAAAGUCAAUGCCGCCAGCUUCGACGGAAAGCUCAGUUUUACUCUCGCACCAAAAUGAUUUGACCGCCCGCCUGUAAAAAAAAAAAAAACCUCACGGAAAGCGUGCAUCUACGAUUACUUAAUAAACCAGCAAGGAAGACAGAGACAUCAGAACGGUCGGUCCCAGCGCCCAAGAGGCGUUAGUCUCCGAACGCAGAGAAGGUGGAUUUUUUUAAAAUAUUAUUUUUUAAAUAUUUUAUUUAAAAAAUAUCUCGAUUUAAUUUUAUUUUUUUAAAAAUAUUAUUUUUUAAUAUUUUAUUUUAAAAAUAUUUCGAUUUAAUUUUAUAUUUGAGAUUACUAUUCUGUCUACGUAAAAUAUGAAAUCAUGAAUUUAACUCACGGUUUCACGAUCAUUCGGUAAAUGACGUGACAUCAGUAAAAUUUUGACUUGAGACCAUGGUUUCAAAAAACUAUGGGUUCAAAUCAUGAUUUUUUGAAACCGCGCUUCAAGCCACGAUCUCAAACGUGCCAAAAAAAAAUUAUAAAAAAAUAGUGCAAACCUUUUUUCUUUUUUUGAAUCAUGAAAAAAAAAAGAAAGAGAGAGAAAAAAAUACUGACGGCCUGCGGACGGUGCAGAUGGCUAAAAGGCAGUGCGAGGGGCCACGAGGGGUGGAGUGCGGGGGAUGAAGGUGGCUGAGGACGGCAAUGGAACCGACCGUAGAGGGUGCGGGGUGCACGGGUGGCCAGAAGGCAAUGCGGGUGGUCGAUGGGCGAUGUGAGAAGGGGAGCGCGGCCGAAGGGGGCACUACCAGGAGGGAAAUGCGGUCGGAGGGCCCGAAGGCAAUGCUGGAGGUGCGACGGGCAGGGGGCCAAGAGGGAAGAGGAGUGCGGCCGAGGGGGGCAGGGGGCGCUGUCGGGAGAGAAACGUAGACAGAGGGCCCCGGGGCAAUGUUGGAGGUGCGACGGGCCACGAGGGAAUGGGAGUGCAGAGCAGCAACGGACAAUGCAGUCGGGGGAGAGAAGGCGCAGAGGAGUGGGGGUGGCGCCACGUGAGGGCGGGGAGGGAAGGGAGGCACGGAGGUAGUGGUGGUGGCGCUGCACGGGUCGACCGUCGGUGGAGGAGGUUUGUCGAGGGGUUGGGAGGAAAGGAAGUGACGAGAAGGAAAAAAAAGAUAAAUAUAAAUUAUAUAAUUUUUUAAAAUUUUUUUAAAAAAAUAUUUUUGAAAAAAUAUUUGUUAAAAAUUAAUUUUUAAAAUAAUAAUUUAUUAUUAUUUUUAAAAUCUAUUUCGAAAAAAGAGAAGGAAGAAAAAAUAGAUAUAAAUAAUUUAUUUAAAAAAUAAUUUAUUUAUUUGUUGUACCAAAAAAUAGAUUUUCAAAAUAAUAAUAAAAUAUAAAAUAAAAUGAUAAAUAAAUAAACUGUUAAAUAAAAUAAAAUAUUAAAAAUAUUGAAAUAUUGAAAAUAAUUAGGUUAUUAAAAUAAUGAUGAAGUAUUAUUUUCAAAAAAAUAAUUUUGAAAAAAAUAUUAUUUUGAAAAAUAAUUUAAAAAUAUUUUGAAAUAUUUUUAAUAAUUUAUUUUAAUAAUCUAUUUUUAAUAAUCUACUUGAAGUUACGAUUUCAAAAAAAAAGACAAGCUCUUCUUUCAUGGUCAUUUUUUUCUUUUUUUUUUUUUUGCUCUUUAAAAUCAUGUGGCUUGAAGCCACAAUUUUACUCUUAUCAUAUCAUCUGUUGAGCUAGUCAUAAAAUCAUUGCUUAAAUUCACGAUUUCACAUCUGUCCCGUAUGGAACGAUAAUCUUUAAAAUAAAUUCAGAAAGAAGGUAUUUUUGUAAUAAAAUAUUAAAAAAAUAAUAAAAUAAGAAAAAUCCUCGCAGUCCGUUUUGCCAGCUGGUAUGACUGCCAGCUGGUAUGUCCUCUCGUGCUUUUUUUUUUAAUUAGUGUUGUACCUACGUUCCAGUAGAUGGCAUAAAAAUGUGCAAAAGAA
rnacentral:lncRNA from 1 species